rnacentral:lncRNA from 1 species
GGCGCAAAUAGCCCAUUUAUCAGAAACGCGCGGAUCCCCUGGAGCGGGUCGGGUCGCGCGCGGAUCUUAAAGGCCAAAACGGCGCCGUUUUAAAUUUAAUAUAAAUACCAAAAAAAAUACUAAAAAAAACAGUUUCAUCUUCAUUUUCAACAAAAACAGAGAGAACUCUCUCAACACCCUCUCCCCAGGAACCGACCAAAGGCUCCGGCGCACCUCCGCCGUAGCUCCGCCGUAGCUCCGCCGUAGCUCCGCCGUAGACGGCAGCCGGAGGUGCAAAACAGAACCUUUCUUAGCCCCGCUUGAAGCCCACCCCCUUUAGAACUCGGAUUCAAAGCCGAAUCCUUUAAAAAACGAGUCAAAACCGAAAAGAAGAGAAGGAAUCCGUUCGCCUUCCCUCCUCUCCGGCGCGGCGCAGGUAAGGCUUCUUCUCAUCCCUUUUUUGUUUUCUAUUUGAUAUGCAAAAUAAAGAAAAUAAAUAAAAGAGGAAAAUGCGAAUCUGAUGUAAAAUAACAACCUGGAAUCCGUUUGUUUGCUUUUAUUUCUUUCUGCUAAUGUGUUCUCUUUUUUUUUUACAAAAAUCCCCCCUUUUACAUUUCACCACAUACUUGGCUUUAUAGCCGAAAGAAAAGAUGAAAAAUGCAGGAAAAUUCCCUCUUUUGCUACUGUUUUUCUAGUCUGUUUCCAUUUCUCUCUUUUUGCUACUUGUUUGCAGGUACAUGGCAAGGUCAACUUGCCAUUUCGGUGCAAGGCCGGCUGGUGGUGGCAGGCCUCGGGCGUGGUGCGCGCUGAAGGCUCACAUGGGUAGCAGCAGGGGAACGGCGCCAGAAACCCUAGGGUUUCUGGCAUUCUGAAAAUGUCAAACGUUUUGGGCCGUUUGGGCUUUUGAAUUUUGGGUUGUGGGUCUGUUAUUGUAAUUGGGUCAGUAAAUUUUUUUGGGUUGGUAGGUUCGGGCUAGGGUUUAUAUGGGCCCGGGCAAAAUAAGGUCUGUACAAUACCCAAAAAAAAUCACUUAGUAUUUAAAUAUACAUUUCUGCUAUUUUCAAUUAUAAACUUAUAGUAUAAGUACUAUUAUUUGUUAUCGUACGUAUAAAAGAUGUUCAUUUCCAAUUUUGGUUCCUAUAAUUUGAUAUUUUUAGUUUUACUUUUCAAAAUAUGUAUUUUUAGUUAUGAUACUAACCUUUUUCCCUUAUUUUCAUUAAAUUAUUUGACGUGUUUUAUUUUUUAAACAUUUUGGUGAUGUGAUAUAUACUUUGUUGUAUUCUUUUUACACCCAAAUAAAUAUUAUGCAUUUUCUCCUUUUUAAUAUUUUUUAACUGUGCAAAAAAGUUAUCAAGAAUAAAACAUAAUAAGGUGUAUUUCGUUAGAAUCAACAAAUCUGAUUUAAAACUUAAUAAAUCAGUACAUGUCCUAUCAAAUCAUCAAUAAUAAAUCAAAAAUAAAAUUAAACAUGGAAGCGUAUUUGAAUCUAUUAAUUUCUUGAAAUAUUUGAAUCUUGAGGUUUUGAUCUUCCAAAUUAGCACACAGGUAAUUUAGAGAAGGCGACUCUCUCUUUCCUAAAGAUGGGAUGUCAAAAAAGUUAAGUAUGUGUAAUUUGGAAACCAUAACACUAAUAUAUACCUUUUGCACAUUACCAUCAAUUAAAAAUUAGUUACUAGAGUAUCUACACAUAUUUGAUGCAUACUUUAUUUAAUAACUGAAGUUCAAUAAGUCUUAGCCAAAUUAGAUCAUUUUUAAUUUGAGCUAACCUUUUAUGAUAGUAAAUAUAUAAUAUGUAAUUAUUCUUAUUAUAUAUGUAAUUUAUUAUAUAUGUAAUGUCCAUACAAUCUAACAAUCUCCCACUUGGACUACAUAUAUAUAUACUAAUUACAUUAUAAUCACAUGUCAUUUUAUAAUUACAUUUUAAAACUUUAUUAUCAUAUCCAAAAGGCAUUCCAAAAAAUCUCAUCCAUUAAUUAUGUUAACAUUGAACUAAUGUGACCUUUGUUACAUAUAUCGUAACAAAAUCCAUCAUUGGUCACAAAUAUUAAUACAACCAAAUGACAUAGAUCUGUACGGAUGUAUAGCAUGGAAAUGCAUGCAAUGUGAUCUAAACAUGCCUAUUCCCAAGUGGUCCUCCUUAACCUUAGUGAGAUCAAACUUUACCAAAAUUAGAGUGUGAAUAAACUAAAUAGAUAUUAUUUCUGCAAAAAAAAUAACCUUAAAAUAUUUGUAAACUACAACAAUUAAGAAUGCGUCUAUAACAAAAAAAAAAAAUUAAAUUUACAAAAUCGCACUAAAAUUGAAUAUCCUAAAAUGACAUUACACCUAUAUAAGCAGCGUGCUCAUAAAAACCUUAGUGGUAGUCCCUUAGUAAGCGGAUCUGCAAUCAUAGAAUUUUUCCCAAUAUGCUUUAUAGACAUCUAACCACUUUGAACUCUUACUUUAAUAACAAAAAAUUAAAAUUUAUGUGCUUUUGACUUCGAUGUGCUCCUGUUGUUAUUGCAAUAAAGGGCUACAAAUUAUUGUUACAAUUUGCACCUUAGUGACAAAAAUUUUGCAUCCAUAUUCCAUUAAAAUCGAAGUCUGUCAAUUCCAAGAGAUUGGAUGAUGGAAAAAAUUAAUAGUUCUAAUACUUCUAAACCAGUUAGUACUAUAGAAUAUAUGUCAUCAGGCAAUAAAUUGUAUUUUAAAAAUAAUUGUAUAACAAAUACAAAUGAAAAUUUAGUUUUACCCUCUAGUUCUCAACCAGAUGAAGAAGAGGAUAAUAUUAGUACAAACAGUACACCAAUAGGAAUUAAAACUGUUCAAAUUACUAUAUUUCCUACUGAUCCUAGUAAUAAUUCUAGAAAAACUAGAAUGGAAGAAAUUCAAACUUCAACAAUUGAUAAAAAGUCAAAAGUUGGAAUAAAUAUCAAAAUCACAUUUCAAUUUAGAAAAUAUAAAAAAUAUUCUCUAAAUGCUUUUAUUGAUACUGGAGCUACAAUCUGUAGUUACAGAAGAAAUGCAAUUCCUGUAGAAAAAUGGGAAUUAAUGAAAAAACCUAUAAAAAUAAUAGGAAUAGACGGUAGUAAAACUAUUAUACAUUAUAAAGUAAAAAAAUUACCAAUCUACAUAAACAAUGUUAGAUUUGUGAUUCCUAAAAUUGUAUGUUUUCCUAACAUGAAAGGAGAUAUAUUAUUAGGAAAUAAUUUUAUAUGUAAAUAUUUACCUUUUACUAUAGAUAAAAAUUCUAUUUGGUUAUCGGAAAAAGAUGAUUUUAUAGAAAUUCCAAUUGAAGAAAAUAAUAAAAUUGUGUGUAAUAAAAAAUUUACACCUAUUAAAAUUAAUUAGUAGUUUAUUACUAAUAUUUGCUGAUUUUUUGAGCAGGCCUCAUGGAUAGAGGUAAACAGCCUCUAAAAGAAAUAGUCGGUGAAUGGACAGCCGUUCACAAAAAGCCCAACAAAGGGAAAGCAGAAUCAAACUCCAAAAAAGGAUUUGUAUCUGCACAGAUACCAUUUUAUCCUAACCAAGGAUAUUAUGUGUCCUGUCCAAGGGUAAACCAACCACUUGGAUCAAAUGUUUUAAAUUACCCGAUGGUAAACCAACCAAUGGGAAAUACUUUUUCAUUGACCCCAAAUACGGUGAGUCAAUUACAAUGGUCCCAAAAUCCGAAUUCAGUGUCACAAACAAGUUAUGCUGAAGUCAUUAAGGGAGCUGAGAAUUUGUUGAAUCAACAACAAAUUCAAGAAUUAAAAGAUCUUUCAAAAAUUAAAGAUUUUUGUAAUCCUGGUUUAUCACCAGAAAAUUAUGAUUUUAUAAAUGAGAUAUGGAAAACCCAUAUUUCAAAUCAAAGAGCCAAUUUCUGAAGAGCUCUUACCAAAUUUUCAUUAUUCUUAGUUGAAAAAACAACUAAAGAAAAUGAAGCUGAAGAUUUAUUAUUAAAAUCUAUUUUAUAUAGAGAAUGAGAUGAAUUCCAGUUAGAAUUCAUGGAUAUAAGGGAGAUAAACAAUCUUCUUGAUAUCAUUCAAUAUUUUAUUCAUAAAGGGAAAAACAAUUCUAUUAUGAAUAAAGUAUUUAGAAUCUGUUUAUAUAACAAAUCUAGACAGAUUUUACCGAUAGAAAUAUUCAAUAAAAUUAAUGGAAUUAUCUGUAACCAGCAGAAUCAAUUCCAAAAAGUUAUUAUAUAAACAGAAGGGCUUCCUGUUUUGUACGAUAGGAACUGAAGAGAAUGAAUAGCGAAAGUUUUUGUAUUUAUUUCCUUUGGGCUCAUAAUUUUCAAACCCAUUUAUUUAUUUCAAAAAGUGUUCUACACUUUCCAUCUAUGAUUUAACAUCAUAUUGAUCCAAUCCCCACCACAUCAACCUCUACUUUCUUUUCUUUUCAUUCUUUCUUUUUUUCUAAACAAUAUACAACGAAUAACACUUGAAUUAAUUCCAAACAAAAACAAUAAAUAUUUUUUAUUUACUUUAAUAUGGGAACUUAAAAUGAUCCAAUUUGAGAAUAUGGGUCAAAUCUACAAUUAUACGUAUAGUACAAGACUAAUGAUUGAAUUUAAUUAAAUAAAUUUGAAUAUUACUGUUUGGAAUAAGACUAAAAAAAUCAAUUCUAGAAUUAAAAAGAAACAAUUAAUCAAAUUUAGUACCGCCUCUAAAUUUACAACUUCUGUAAAAAAAUACAGAUUAAUAGUAAAAAUUAACAAAAAUUAAAUAAAGAUUUUCUUUAUAACAUCAUUUAGUUGUUUGAUUAAUAUAGUGCUAAACGAUGUUAUAAAGAAAAUCUUUGAUCAUAAAAAGAUAAAAUAGCAAGACAUAAAUUCAUAAUUAGACGUUAAGGGUAUGUUUUGGUGAGAGGUUUGAGAAGAAGAUUGUAUGAAACUGUGAUUUCAUAAUAAUUUUAUUCAUUUUUAAUAGGAAAAAUGAUAAAUUAGAUUUUUCCUUUUGAAUUUUAGUAUUUUUAGUUGGAUUUGAAUUUUGUCAAGAGAAAAAAGCUGAAAGUUAGGAGAAAAAAAUUUAAUUUGUCAUUCUUUUAUUGGAAAGUGACAGAGAUAACGUGAAAUCACUGUUUCAUACAAUCCUUAGCCAAAGUUUGGUGGAGUAAUUUUAAGCUUUAUUUGGCUUUUCAAUUUAAAAAAAAAAUAUUUUAGUUUUUAAUUUAAAUUUUCAUCUUUUCUAAUUUUAAAUUUGUGUUUUUGUCAAACCAUCUCAAAAUAGAUGGAAAUUUUAAUAUUAUCACAUGGAUAAAAACUUAAAAAUAUGAUUUUAAAAAAAAAAAGUAAAAUAUCUAUCGUUGCUCAUAAAUAUUUGGUAAAAAAAUAAACGAUGGGUAGCAGGUGAAGUCAUGAAGAAGAUGUGGCCAAUGAACUAUAUGAGGGAUCACCCCAUCUUCUCUUGCUAACAUUCUCUGCAGAGCUUGGUUUACCUGUACCACACUAAAAUUACAUGCAUUAUAGCUUCUAGGUUUUUGAGGCACUUGUCAAAAGUACCUCUAUAAGCUGCUAGGUGGUAUUCUGCACUUUUGAGCCCCCAAGAAAAUGUAGUAUAUUUUUAUAUAUCUACAACAAAUUCAAGUUAUAGCCGCGUUGUAAAGCGAAAAUGCCACCGUGGUCCAGCUUUGCGGUUUUGGGCCACCCAAUUUCGACUCGAGAUACCUUUAUUGAUCCCAUCUGAUUUGAAAUCCUCGAAAAUGUAUGUUACUUCCUACAUGAUUUAAAGAAAUGGAUUGUUUUUGUUCACUAGGCAAAAGAGCACCCUUUUUCUUUUUGACAUAUCAUGUUUUUUGGUUGAAUUCUCAUUUUUUUCAUUUUUGGGAGAGGAUUCCAACCGAGACACCCACAUUUAAUCAUUUGAUCAACAAAAAUGACAUAUCAAAGAAAAGUAUAUUUUGUAUUAAAUGUAUUUCAAAAGGCGGGUUUUACAAGGCACUUUUGCCCAUGUUGUUCGGUCAGCAAAAACAAUCCAUUUAUCCGUUUUUUUUUAAAAUAGAUAAAGUGGCAUGUGCCAUUAAUUUUGUCAAUAUUAUAUACAAGGGCAUUUUCAUAAUUUUAUUAUGAGCAUGCGAAUUUUUUAAUUGACCCGCCUUGAAACCUGAUUUCAAAGAAAAAGGUUGACCCUAUUAGAUCAAAUUAGAUUGGGCCGAAACCCGUCGGGUUUAGAAAUUUUUGUCAUCCCUAUAUUUCACAAAGAAAAUACACCAAAGGAUACGAAUGAAAUUAAAAAAGUUUGGUACACAGGUAGUAUGUAUUUUUAAUUCCACAAGUAAAUUUAAAAAAUUGUCAUGUGUCUCCCAUUUCUUUUAUAUAUAUAUAUAUAUAUUUAUAUUUAUAUUUAUUUUUUUAAAAAUAUUUUACUAUAUCUUAUAGAAUACUUGUCAUCACUUUAACCCUACUUAUAGAAUCUAAAAACUUCAUGUGUGUGUAUGUGUGUGAGGUUAUGCAGGCUUUCAAAUAUUCCAUUUGGAUAGACGCUUUUGGUGAGAUUAAAAAUAAUGUUGGUAGCGAGAUUAGUUUUUGUAGUUAUGAGAUUGGAUACUGUAGUGGUGAGACCAAAAUCAGUGGUUAAGUAUGUAUUUGGAUUCAAUUAUAGCAGCGAAUUGAAUUAUUGCAAGGAGAAAAAAAUUACCAUUAUAGACAUUGGAUUAAAAGAUUAAAAUAUAUAGAAUAAAAAAUUUAAUUUAUUUUAUUUUAUAAACUUAAACAUAAUAAAAAUUUAUUACAAUUAUAUUAUGGCAUAUAAUAAUUAAAAAUAAAUUAUAUCAAAUAAUUUUUUAUGUAUUUAUAUUAUUUGUUAAAUUAAUUAAUUAUAAAUUAAUUAGUAUUAACCUUAUAAUUAUUGCAUAUUCAUAAAACGCAUAGAAAGUUAGAGUGCGCGUCAGUUGUCGCUUGGAGGUAAAGAAGUUUUUAUAAAAUCAAUUUUACAAGCUAUCUUAGUUGAUACAAUGCAAUGUUUUUUAUUGCCUGUUACAGUAUGUCAUGAAUUGGAAAGUAUUAUUAGUAAAUUCUGGUGGAGAAAUUCUAAAACAAGGAAGGGAAUCCAUUGGAGUGAUUGGAGGGGGAUGUGCAAGCCAAAGGCACAAGGAGGAUUGGGGUUUAGGGAUUUGAAAAAGUUCAACCUAAUGUUGCUUGCAAAUCAGGGCUGGAGAUUAAUUAAGAAACUAGAUUGUUUGUUUGCUCGUGUCAUGAAAGCAAAGUACUAUCCAAAAAAUAACUUUAUGAGUGCUAGUUUAGGUUCUCACCCUUCAUAUGCCUAAAUAGCAUUUGGGGUGCUAGAACUAGGCAUGGGCUGGAGAGUUGGAAAUGACAGAUCAAUAAAUAUUUGGAACGAUGCUUGGUUACCAGGGCCUAGACAUGGAAAAGUAACAGUUCAGAAUAUUGAUAUUAAUUAUACAACAAUAGCAUAUUUUAUUAUUAUAGAGUUGGCUACUUGGAAUUUGGAGGCCUUGAGGAAGCUUUUUGUUAAAGAGAAAGUAAACAUAAUAUUGACUAUCCCAGUUGUUGAAGUUGAUCUUAGAGAUAAGAGGGUGUGGAGGGGUGAAAAUGCAAGUGUGCAUUCAACAAAAAGUGGAUAUAAGUGGCUACUAAAUGGGGAUGCGACAAGAUCACAUAGGGAAGUGACACAACAAUCUACACUAUUACAGAAUUUCUACAAAAAAUUAUGGAGAUUACAAAUUGCGAGCAAAAUUAAAAUUACAAUAUGGAAACUGGCUAAUAAUUACAUUCCUACGUUUGGCAAUUUAUAGUUGAGGAAGUUGUUGGUGAUGAAUUUUUGUCCUCUCUAUCGUACAAUGGAAGAAUCAGUGAGCCACAUUUUUCGAGAUUGCACGUUCAUCAAAAGUGUCCUGCAAUGGGUGGGGAUCGAUGUCUCACCCAAUAUUCAAGGACAAAGUUGGAAAACGUGGUUAGCAAAUCUGUCUGUUAGUAUAAGAGAGGAUCAAUGCAAAUGGUUAGCCAUUGUUUUUUGGGCAAUUUGGCACCACAGAAACAAGGUUUAUCAUCAAGGUGAAAGAUAGAGUAUAGUUGUAACACCCCUAACCCGUAUCCGUCGACAGAAUAGGGUUACGAAGCCUUACUGAAAUUUACAAAUCAAAUAUAGAUAUUUCAUAACAUUUAACAUUCAUAUCAGGAAUCAUUCAUAAUGAAUCAUAUCCCUUAAAUUAUCCCACGAGGCCCAAAAUAUGCAUCAGAAAUAAGUAGGGACUAAAUCGAGUAUUCGAAAAAAUUUUUGCGAAAUUUUAAAAUUUUUCCUAAGUGCAGGGUACACACACUCGUGUGUUUCACACGGCCAAGAGACACGCUCGUGUGGGCAUUCGAAAUAGGGUACAUGGUCAUGUCUCAGCUCGCGUCCAUACCCGUGUAACUCUCUGACUUAGGUCACACGGUCAAGUCACAGACCUAUGUGUUUUGCCAUGUGUAGGUGCAAAGGUCACACGGCCAAGCCACACACUCGUGUGCCAGGCCGUUGAAAAAUCUUAAGCAUUUUGUUUUGAAUUUUUAAAAUGCAGGGGACACACGGUCGAGACACACCCAUGUGCUAGGCCGUGUGUCACACACGGCUGAGACACAUGCCGGUGUCUCUGCCCGUGUGGAUAAAAUAAGGCCAUUUUCAAGCCAUAUUUCUCAUCCAUUUGGUCUUCUACCUACAUUAACAUUUUAACAUAUUCAAAAACCAAUCCAAAACAUUUAAACUAAACUAAAACCAAGUCAUAAAUAUGUCAUAUACCUCAUUUCUCAACAUUCCAAUUUACCAUAUUUAUCAAAACAUCUAUUUGCUUACUUUUACCAACUAUACUAUCUCAUCUCAUACAUCAAUAUGCCUAUAACUUAUCCACCAUUCAACCGCAUCAAACACAACAAACAUGAAGAAGCCACACAUAUUCAUACAUAACAUAAGUAUGUCCUACUUAAGCCAUUCCAAUGGCCAUUUAUAACCAAAAUACAUAUUUGUCAUCAAUGGCCCAAUUGAACCUAUACAUGUCAUUAUACCAAAAAUUUAGUUUGUUACAUAUACCAAAAUAAGUCGAAGGAUAGUGUGAUGAUGCUCCGACCAGCUUCCAACCACUCCGAGCUUUUGAUUUACUAUAAAACAGGAAAAAUAAAAUUGGGUAAGCAUAUUAUACUUAGUAAGUUCGUAUAACGAGAAAUUAACUUACCAUUCAUUUAUAUUUAAAGUAAGUAAGCAAAAUUCAUCCAAAGAAAUUUGGCAAUUUUCAUAAAUAUAUAUAACCUAAAAAAACAUGUUAGUCAUGUACUUCAUGUGAAUAUCAAGAAAUAAGGAUGAGCUCAUCAUGUAAAAAUUUUCAUAAACAUAUAUUUUCCACAUCAUAUACUUAUAUAACAUAUACAUUUUUAUAAUAAUUCAUCUCAAGGUCAGAUUAUUCCAUGUUGAAACUUUACCCGUUGAAUUUAUUUGAAAUAUCGAUGGAUACACAGGUAGUACACUCGAAGUGUACAAAACUGUAAUCCACCAAUUCAUAUUCAGGAAUGCUCAUACGAGCACAUAAACGAAAUGCUCUCUCUUGAGCCAUAUAACAGGAAGCUUAUGUGAGCCAUGUAAUAGGAAGCUUAUCCAGGCUAUAUAACGAGAAGCUCAUAAGAGCCAUAAUCGGGAAGCUCAUGCGAGCCAAUAAUGGGUAACUCUGAAGAGCCAUUAACGGGAAGCUCCAGAUAACCAUAUGUAACACCCCUUAACCGUAUCCAACACCGGAAUAGGUACGAGGCAUUACCAAAACACAUACACUUGUAAACGUAUUUAACCGAGUUAUAAAAUUUCAUCAAAAUUAAAACUUUCAAAAUAAUUAACAUGUUUCUAUAACUUUUCACAAUAUAUCCUCAAAAUAUUAUAAUCAUAAUAAUUAGGGCCUGCGAGACCCGAUACAUACUCAUGCAAUUUAAUGCUUCAUUUCCAUUUCAUUCAAUUCGCAAUUUCUCAUGCUCAUAAUUUAAAUCAUAUCACUAGCAAUUUCCAUUUAAUUCACGUACAAUUCAAUGACAUCAAAUUCAAAACUAAUACGUAUUUACCAUUUAACUCAAUGUUUAUUGAUUAUACCAUUCAAUAACACAUUUAUGAAAUUCUCAAUUUAGCAAUGAAAAUAUCGCUUUAGUUUGAAUAACAACAUCGUCCUGAUAUAAAUACACUACCACUUAUCCAUUUACUUUAAUUCUUUCGGGCCCAUUUGUCACUUACCAUCCUUAAUCAAAUUAGGGAACGGUCACGGAAAAUUGAGUACUUCACUUUCACUUUGCCAUAGUAUAACUNNNNNNNNNNNNNNNNNNNNNNNNNNNNNNNNNNNNNNNNNNNNNNNNNNNNNNNNNNNNNNNNNNNNNNNNNNNNNNNNNNNNNNNNNNNNNNNNNNNNNNNNNNNNNNNNNNNNNNNNNNNNNNNNNNNNNNNNNNNNNNNNNNNNNNNNNNNNNNNNNNNNNNNNNNNNNNNNNNNNNNNNNNNNNNNNNNNNNNNNNNNNAUAGCCGAAGCUAUCACUUAUCACUUUUCACUUGUCACUUGAUCAGAUAAGUGUAGCCGAAGCUAUCACUUAUCACUUUCCACUUGUCACUUGAUCAGAUAAGUGUAGCUGAAGCUAUCACUCAUCACUUUGUCACUUGAUCAGAAGUACUCAAAUCCGGCGUUCCGCUCAAUUUGAUCAUUUAUUCAUAUUUCAGGCUUACCAACAUGUGUUAAUUCAUAAACCAUUCAUGGUAUUAUUUCAUGCCAAAUCAUAUACUGAAUAUACCAUACACACAUACUAUGAAACUUUAUUUUCACACAUGAGCUUAAACCAUGACCAAUAAUGCACAAAAAUAAGCAUCAUUCAUAUUUCAUCGUUUAUGAGUUAUAAUCAAACAUAUGACCAUUUAUACACGAAUCAUUCAUAUAUUUCCCAAUUUUCCUCCUCCUCCUCUCCAUUCCACAUCCUUAAUGUGUAUAACACACUUAAACAACAUUAACCAUAAUUUCAAUAUACACUAACAUGUAUAUUCAAAGCUGUUUAUCCGAGUCAGAGUCACUAAAUUAUUUUUAUCCAGAGCUACAGAGCUCCAAAUUAAGAUCCGUUAAUUUUACCUGAAACUAGACUCACAUAUCUUCAUACCAUAAAAUUUUCAUAAUUUUUGGUUCAGCCAAAUAGUACAGUUUAUUCUUUAAAGUUUCCCCUGUUUCGCUGUCUGACAGUUCCGACCACUCUUCACUAAAAAUUAAUUAUCUCAUUGUACAGAAUUCGGAUGAUGUUUUAGCUUGUUUCUUCUAAAAAUAGACUCAUUAAGGAUUCUAACCAUAUAAACUAUAACUCAUAAUAAUUUUUUUACAAUUUUUAAUGAUUUUCCAAAGUCAGAACAGGGGAACCCGAAUUCAUUCUGACCUUGUCUCACAAAAUCUAUUAUAUCUCAUGAUUUACAAUUCCAUUGCUCACAUCAUUUCUUUUAUAAGAAACUAGACUCAAUAAGCUUUAGUUUCAUAUUUUAUUCAUCCUCUAAUUCAAUCUCUACAAUUUUUGGUGAUUUUUCAAAGUUACACUACUGCUGCUGUCCAAAACUGCUUUAGUGCAAAAUGUUGAUUUCCAUUUUGCCCCAAAUUUCACAGUUUAUACAAUUCGGUCCUUUCUCAAUUAACCCCUCAAUUAAUCUAAUUUUCUCAAUUAGUACUUUACUAGACAUUAUAAGUUGUUACACAACUAUUGAAAUUCAGAAUUUCCACAUAUAACUCUAUCUUCAAACUCUUUUACUAUUAGGUCCCAAACAUUCACUUUCUAUUCAAUUCUUUCAAUAAAAUCAGCAUAUGAACAAUUUAAAGCUCUAAUUUCAUGCUAAAUCAUCAUAUACUUCCAGCACAUAUUCAUAUCAACUUUCAACUUCUUUCAUAAAAUCAAAAACUAAUGAAUUUAACAAGUGGGCCUAGUUGUAAAAGUCAUAAAAAUACAAAAAUUUCAAGAAAUAGUCAAGAAUUGAACUUACUUGUAAUAAAAAUAUGAAGAACCAGCUUGAAGAAGCCCUUCCAUGGUGUUUUAGCUGAUGAGAAUUCAGAAAAAUGAAGGGAAAUCUAGAUAAUUCCACUUGGGUCCUAACUUUAUUAAGCAAAUUUUGCAAUUUUCCAAUUUUGCCCUUAAUUCUCCUUACUUUCUUGCUGAUUUCAUGCCUCUGCCGUCCAGCCCAAAUAGACCUUGGGUCUAUUUGUCUUUUAAGCCCUCUUCCUUUUAUCAUUUAAGCUAUUUAAUCAUUUCCCAAAAUUUUGCAUUUGUUAUAAUUUAGUCCUUUUUGUUCAAUUAAUUAUCGGAACUUUAAAAUUUCUUAACGAAACUUUAAUACUAACUUUUUAACACUCCAUAAAUAUUUAUAAAAAUAUUUAUGGCUCAGUUUAAAAUCCCCGAGGUCUUGAUACCUCAUUUCGAUUCUAAUUAUUUUAAUAUUUAUUUCUAGUGCACUAUUCACUAUUUCAAAAAUUUUCCUAACUUCAUAUUUAACUUAUACUUACUAAAUUAAUAAUAUUUUCUACCCAUUUGUCGAAUUUAGUGAUCUCGAAUCACCGUUCCGACACCUCUGAAAAUUCAAGCCAUUACAUUUUUUUUCGUCGGAUUUGUGGUCCCGAAACCACUGUUCCGACUAAGCCUAAAAUCGGGCUAUUACACCAUAUAUCGAAAAGUUCAAGCGAGCCAAUAUCGGGAAGCUUAGGAGAGCCAUUAACGGGAAGCUUACAAAGAGCCUUUAAUUAGGAAGCUCCAAAUAGCCAUAUAACAGGGCGCUCAUAAGAGCUGCAGUGUGCCCACAACACAUGCAGGAUCACAACUGAUUGGGAUGCUCCGAAGAGCUAUUAACGGGAAGUUCACAAGAACCAUAUAACGGGAAGCUCGAGAGGGCUAAUAAUGGGACUUUCUUUCAAGUUCUGGUGUGUCCGCAACAUAUGCAGGAUCACAAUCAAUACGGGAAAUCUUGUAUCCAUCGAAUUUCAUUUAUUCAAUCGGAACUUGAUGUUUGUUAGACAUUGUCGGAUAUAAUAUUAAUUUCAUAUUCAUAGCAAAAAUACAAUUACAUACACAACAUUCAAUCCAAGCAUAUAAAUAUACACAAUUUAGUUACACAAACAUACUUUGACAAGUGUUCGUGUACACAAAAUCUACUAAUCCGACACUUUUUCUUUUCCACGACCUAACUUCGUUUUUGAGUUAACCGGAUCUAUACGAGUGAAUUUAACGUCAAUUUAAUACAAUUCAUAUUCAAUUCAAUUAAAUUCACAUCUUAGGAAAAAUUACCAUUUUACCCCUUUGCUUUUAAUUAAUUUUAAUUUCGUCCCUAGGCUCAGAAAAUGAAAUUCAUGCAAUUUAAUCAUUAUUCUAGGCCUGGCCAAUUUUUACAUGUAACAUUUUCAGCCCAUUUAAUUCAUAAAAUUUAGAAAUUUUUUCAUAAAUUUUACAUAUUUACAAUGUAGUCCCUAAAUCACAAUUUCAUCAAAAUUCACUUUUCAAAAGUUAUUUAUCUAUUAACAACCUUUCAUUUUCUACCAUAAAUUUCAUAAUUCAUGCAUAUUCAUCCAUGGAAAACCCUAGUACUUUGAUAAUUUUACAAAUUAAUCCCCGAGAUAGCUAAAUUAAGAUUUUACGAUCUCAGAAAUAUAAAAAUUACUAAAAACGGGACAAGAAUUCAUACCUAAUUGAGUCAAAACAACUUCCUUGAACUCAACACCCAAAAAAUAGGGUUUCCAUGUCUUUUAAUUGGGACAGAUGAUAUAAAAUGAUGAUAUUAGAUAUUUAUUUUAUUUAUCAUCUUUUAUUUAUUUACUUUCCAAUUUAGUCAUUUUCUUUUCUUAAAUUUCCAUAGAUGAAUCAUCAUACUUAUAUACUAACUCCUCUUAAUGGUCUAUUUACCAUAUAAGGACCUCAAAUUUUGAAUUCCAUAGCUAUUUGAUCCCUUUAGCUACUAGAAUUCAACUUUGGCAUUUUAUGCAAUUUGGUCCUUUCCAUCUAAUUGAACAUGAAAUCAGUAAAAUUUUCUUAACAAAAUUUUUAUACGAUGUUCUUAUCAUACGGUAAACCAUAAAAUAAUCUUAAAAUAAUUUUUUUUACGGACUCGAGUUUGUGGUCCCGAAACCAUUGUUCCAGUUUCAUUGAAAACAUGCUGUUACAAUAGUUGGCCUGGUCACAUUUAUUAAAACAUAUUACACAGAGAGUUUUCACACAGAACUAAUGAAAACAACAAGCAUAGGUCAAAAUGACAGUACACGGACUCCACCAAGGUUAUAUGAAGUUAAAUGUAAUCUUGACGCGAUUUUUGACAAGUGCGUACUUAGUUCAAUGACUGGAAUAAUUUUUAGAGAUAACGAGGGGUAUAUCCUGGCAUCUUGUACUUACGCGAACAAUUAUGUGGCCAACGCAACUACCGCUGAGGCGAGAGCCUGCUUACAAUCGAUGGCAGUGGCUGAACAACUAGGGUUCCAAAGAUUGGUGGUGAAGUUGAAAGUUAUUAAAAAAGCUCGGUCAAUAGGGGAGGAUAGAUCGAGCAUAGAUGUGAUUGUAAAAUAAGUAAAAGAAAGGGCACAAAGAUUUAAACGAUUUACCUAUUGUUUUGUGGGUCGAUCGGUGAACCAUGCAGCCCAUACGAUGGCUGAUGAGGGAAAAUAAUGGUCAUCGCUGAGGAUUUGGGUUGAGGAGGUGUCUUCAAUAGUAGUAGUGGCGGCUGAGGAAGACAGAAAGUCUUGAAGAUGAGGAGGAAAUGGGUUUUAAUGACUCCAACGGUUUCAGUUUCUUCAAAGUUCCAUCGUGAAUACUAAGGGUAAUGAAUCAUUGGGGAUGGACGAUGGCAGUAGAGAAGCUAUUGAGGGAUGACAGAGAGAUUGAACUAUUUUUUUCUUUUAAAUUUGUGUUUUGGUUUUCUAUUUUGCUUUAUUUUUUUCUAGUGGAUUUUUUGGGGGUUAUUGAAUGACUGUUGAUUUUGCUUUAAUUGUCAGUUAAAGUCUUUUUAGGUUUUCGGUAAGAUUUUACUUUUCUUUAAUUAGGGGACAGUCACAAUCUAUUUUGGUUAUAGCAUUCGUGUGACACGUGUAACGCAUGCAGUCAUGCAAUUAUUUUACUUGGUAAUGGCAUCCUUUCAUUUUUCAGUCAAAAAAAGUGAUGGUUAAAAUGGUACAAGAACUUUUUGAGUGGGAAUGUUUUUCUUUUCCUUUUGGAGCUUUAAUCUUCGGUUGAAAAUUGAGGUGAGAGUGUGGUGAGAUGUUGCAAAUGCAUCUCACCAUUAAUGAUCCAAAUAAAAAAAAAAAGAGUAAAAAAACAUAUGCUCAUCAUCUUCACUAAUGAUAAUUAACAAUUCAAAGAAGUACUAAGUGUAUCAUCAAGUUUGCUUUUUUCUUUUUCAAUUAGUAAAAAGUAUUUUCUUUGAUUUUUUCAACAACUUUUGAUUAUUUUCUUUAAGCAUGAAAUUCUCCUCAACUACCUUUAUGUUAAUGUUACAUUGUUGAUCCCACUUGUCAAGCAUGUUUUUGCAAUUUUUUUCUUAUGUGCUCAUCAUUUUCAUCAUUCUCACUCGACAAGUAUUCAUCUCUUCAAGUCAUAUUAGAAAACUUAAUUUUCAUAGUGUUUGUACACUCAACUUGUAUGUUCCCAAAUCCCUCACAGUAGUAACAUUGAAUACCUUUCUUCUAUUCUCUAAACUCAUCAUCUAUGGCAAUGGAUUUCUCUAUAACUUUUAUUGGCAACACAUCCUCUUUCACUACUCCUAUUCCUUCUAAUAAAUUUCUUGAUUGCUUGAUUGAAAUUUUUGGUAAGAAGGGCUAGUUGCUCUAGAAAGUUCUCAACAGUAAUUUCAGCAUCAAUUUAAAGUAAAGAUACAAUGUUUGAAGUUAGGUUUUUUCUCUAAGUUGACUUUAUCCUUUCUGAUUUCCUCCAAAUUACCUUUGAAGGUUAGAGGUGAUCUAAUCAACUAAUCGGUUCUCAUAGAGUUGUUGUCUUUUGCCUCCUCAAUGAUUGCCAUUUUGAUGGAAAUUCUUUCUAGAAGAGGUCUAAGAUCCUUGAGCGCACUUUGCAUUUGAAUAUUUCACACUAAAUGUAAAAACUGAAAUAGUGAUAUUAUAUAGCUUAGCAUAAAAAAAAGAGAGUAUUAUCCUCAUAAAUUCUUACAUUUCGAACAUAGUAGUUAACAUUUAGAUAUUUGACUACUCCCUAUUGUCCAACCUUCAUAAGAAGAAACACACUUGGAAAUACGCCUGAACUUCAUGAGGACCUAUCACAUUAAAGAUUACAUUUAAGGCCUUUGAGUUGUAGCUAGUUGUUCUGUCUUCUUCAAGUGAACAUAUUCUUUCAGGCUUAGGAGAGCAAACUCUAUUGGCUUUAGUAAUGAAGAGUUUCUUGUUAGAAAAUAAUUUAGAAAUUAUGUCAGAUUUGCACACAACAAUUUUUAAAAAAAAUCUAAAACAAACUUUUGUUGUGAAAUCUAAAAUAAUAAAUCUGAUCAAAUAAUCACUUGUGUAUUGAGGCCUUUAAGAGAUGUCCUUGUUGUAAUACUCCUUUGUGAAGGUACUCUAACUUUUUGAUCAACCCAAAGUAAAAUUUGAACUCUUUAGACUUUCAACAAAUUGAUAUUUUCUACUAUUCUCAAACUUACGUUUGCUUAGAGAGUAAACUCUAACUUAAAUAACUAAAUACAUCACAAAAUCGAGACUUUCCCUUCAAAAAGCCCUUUACGCAAACCUUUAUAAUUGAAUCCAAAAAUUUCAACUCUCUAAAUACAAAUUAUAAUUACUCCUAAUCUAAAAUCAAAAAAGAAUUUAUUUGAGUAUAAGAAAAAUUACUCAAAUAAAAUACUCCUUAAUUUUUGUGGAGUUUUCCUUUAAUAGUUGAUAGUUAAAUUUUAACUAAACAUGUGUAUUUAUAAAAAGAAUUUAUAUAAGAACUUAAUUUCCUUUCAAAGUUCUAAAUUAAUUUAGGGGUGAGCAAAACUCGAUUUGAUUUAAUUUUUUUUUGAAUUCUAAGUUAAUCAAAUCGAGUUAUUCAAGCAACUCGAAUUACUUCGAGUUUGAAUCGAGUUGAAUUUUAUAGUUUGAAUAACUUGAAUAAUUCAGUUAUUCAAAUAACAUAUUGGUUUAUUGUAACCUUCCUAACUUGGUCUGGACGUUAUGACCAGAUUGAGAAGGCUACAUUAGCCACCAGAAUGGCUAAGAAGACUAACUAACCUUUAAAAAAAAAAAACUACCCCGUCUAAAUUUAAGAAAAUCGUGGUUUUUACUUUGAGUUGGGUUAAAACCUUCAAGUCAUCUAUACUUUAGGAUUCAUUUUAUUGUUAAUAGUGAUGUUUUAGUAAAACCAUUGCGUAAUGAAUUUAUUUUGUAAAACUCAUGGUAAUAUAAUGCAGUGGAAAAUCAACAAUUAUGUUAGAUUUUACUUAAACAAAAUAACAUGCAAUUACCGAUUAUUAAAUUCAAACUACUACUCGAAUGAAUAAUACAUGCAUAAAAAUCCCAAACCAAAAACUACCAAGCCACAAUCCAAAUAACAAAAUUACAACCCUAACCAGUGAAAAACUUUAUUGGAAAUUAUUUUAAAAAUAAAGUAGUUUGAAGCCAGAAGGUUCGUCUACAUGUUGGGUCCAAUCCUAAUCUCGAGCAUUACUUGAGAAGUUUAAAACUAGAGAGGUAAGCUUAAGGAAGCUCAGUGUGAGUCAAAAUUACAGAACAUCAUAUAAUCAUUCAUAUCGAAUAUAACAGUCAACGUUACCCAUCUAUACCGUUGCAUAGCAAUAUUAAAUUAGUGUAUGAGCAUGUUAUGUUGCACAAUGCAAAGGAAAAGGUUCCUACCUAACCAUUUGCCACACACCAUGAGUUCUCCAAAACUCGUCUACCGAACUCCAAACAGUGCUAGACGAAACUCGAUGUGGAUAAACCACAAAUAAUAGUAAAGUAAGUAAACUGCCGGUAAAAAUGCAGUCAAGUUGCCAGUAAUGUGGACUAGCCACCAGUAUUGCAAACAAGAUGCUAGUAAUGCGAUUAAAUUGCCCAAUCUCCUCGGUACCCCGAUGCGGUGCACUAAGAACAAUAUUGCAGACUUUAAAUACCAUUAGUACUCCACGGAACUCCUUUGUCAACCAUAAAAACCUAUCCCAUGCAAAUGCAAUAUGUCAUGCAAUCAGUAAACACAUCAUGUUUCCAAUAAUAAUUUCGGUACAAUGAAAUGCUUAACAUGCAUAUCAAUAAACAAUAUUGGUGUAUGCCUUGCUUACCUUUCAUUUAAUAGUAACAAUGGCAUGCGCACAUGCUUUCCAUAUAGUCAAUAUCACAUAUGGUAUGUAAUUUAAAUACAUAUAAGCUCAAUGUCAAUCAUGGCAUACUACAUACAUAUCAAUCAAUGGUUCAAAAAUUCAAUAUGUUAUACAUGAAUUCAACACACAAUUUUCACCACAAAUUAUAACACAAAAUAAUACAUUACAUACAACUCGUACACAAUUCAAUCAGUCCCAACAAAGCCUUCUACAAUUGGGCUUCCUAUUUAAAUAUGUAUUGAUGGUUGUCGAGGCCACCAAAUAUAAAUUUCUAUGCUCUAACUAAACUAAACAAUAGUUUAGAGAAGUAAGGUCAAUCCCACAGGGAUUAGGAUUCCUAAUUUCAUUUUUUACGUAACCAGAUUCUGUGGUCGUGGCAAUUGUCGUGCCCACGACUUGUAACAUGUUAUGCUGAAAAAUAAAACAGACAUGUUUUAGUUGAUUAGGGUUUAAAAUAUGGGAAUAAAUAGAACAAAAUAAUAGUUGAAUUAUAAAUUCAAAAUAAAAUUAAAUAAUUGAAAUUAAAUUACAUAAUCAAAUAUGUGAAUUUUUAGCCUUAGACUUGAUAUAUUCUAGACUCGAUUUGAUCCUUGAAAGUGAAUUUUUCUUUUCAAACGGUAAGUUGGUUAUAGUGAUUAAAAACUCAUUAACCACCAACUCUUCCUUGUGUAGUUGAUUUCAGGAUGUCCUACAAACUAACCAUUACUGAUUAGGUCGUUUAAAUCUGAUCAUUAUGUCCCUUGACGAAAUCCAACUGGCAUUUUCCCACCUGGAAAUGCCAAUUUGUUUGUGGGAACCCAAAUGCGGCAGACAACUCUAAUCUAAUCACGCUUUUUGAGUUGAAACUGAAUUAACUUUAAGGGACGAUUGUAACUAUCCCAUAUUCUAGAGAGAUAAUGAAUAUCGUGUUGUAAGGUUUUAGUACGGGUUCAUUUCUCACAAUUCUUGACAAGAAUAAUAACUGACCUAAAGUUAAAUGUAGAUUAGUUGAGCAUGAAAUUAAUCAUACUUAAUUGGAUUAUGAGAGUGGACUUCAAUGAAAGAUAAUAUGUAAAGAAGGGAGAUGACUAAAAGAGCAAUUGCACCAAAGUAUAAAAAGCGGAAAGAAAUGGUAGAAUGCUUGACGCAAGAAUAUGCUAAUCGUCUUUUUAAAUUCAAGUGUGUUCUAAUGCCAAAAUUGCAAGCCUUUAUGUACACCCCUCAAAGAGCCAAUUUUACAUGAUUUAUGCCUAAAAUUAUGCUUAACAACCAACCGCUAAAUCAGAAUUUUCUAAAUAUAAAAUUUGUCUAAGUCAAAAAGUCUAAUAUUUUUAUCAGCCCAAAAAUAAUUCAAAAAAUUUCAAUUCAACCCCCAACUUGCUUUUUGUUCCAAUUUAUCCCGAUUUUUGCUUGUUUUUGAACUUUGACACUCCAAUUGCAUCCUUGAUAAAAUUUAAGCAAGAAAACACAAGCUUAGUAGUAUUCUAUUAAAAAAUUGACCAAAAUUAGGUACAUUAAACAGACAAAAUUAGCUUGCUAUUAGUACCUUACUUGACACUCCAUUUAUUAGUAAUUAGGCUAUUUGGUCAUGCCAAAACCAUUAAGGAUAACUACCAUUUUAAAACAUAUUUUAAAAUUUUAAGACUAACUUAGCAAAAAGAAAGACCCACACCUUAAUUCGCAAUCCACAGCACAAACCCAAAAAUUCGCAACUCCAAAAUAUAGAUCUAGACUAUUAAUUUGCCAUAAUUUGAUAUGUCAAAUUAGCCUUCCCCGUACACCUAAUAAGCUUGUUUCCAAGCAAAUUAGUAUCUUUUUCGUGGUUUUAGGAUUUCAACUUAAUAAGUGGAAAUAUCUCAUUUUACUAGUUUUUGAGACCUAAAAUUGGCCAAUUGUGCCAUUGGAGGCCCUAAGAUUCUUUUGAGUGUUAUAGGUGCUUAUCGAAGUCCCAAAACUAUGCAAAACUAUCACCAAAGGAAGGGGUAUUGUGACAUCGAAGCACGAGAGUCACGAUACCCACUCAAAGACCUUGAUGAAGACCACCUACAGUGGUAUCACGAUAUCCACUUGCCUUGGAAGGCCCUAUUUGAAGACUGUCGACGGUGUUGUGACAUCCACACUUGGGUAUAGCAAUACCCUUUCGUGAGGGGACAAAAAAUCACGCAAAGGGUAGUCUUUGUCCAAUUGAAGCACCAAUAAUUGAAGGCUCGUUCUAGGGCAUUUUGAGCACAAGAAUUGGGUCAGAAUAGCUGCUAUAUUAGCCAAAAUUUGGUUGAAAGAGAAUAGAGCCCCAAUAAAGCCACAUUAGGGUAGUUUUAACUUAGGUUUCUCUUUAGUUUUCUUUGUAGUUUUCUUUUUUUUUUCCUAAGGUUUUUAGUUUUAUCUUCUUCCUAAGUUUAGAUUUAGUUUUUCCUUUACUUUCUUGUUGUUCGUCUUGUUCUUGUAGUAGUUAAGUUAGGUAACAUUGUUGGUAGGGUUUAUUUAUAUCUUCUUCCUAAGUUUAGAUUUAGUUUUUCCUUUACUUUCUUGAUAUUGCUUAAAAUAUUUCUGAAUUAACUCAAUUAAAACUAGAUUGAAUAUCACUUUUUCACUGUUAGGUUAUAAUUAAAAUUUGAGAAAUAAAUAUGUAAGUUAGAAAUUAACUGAGUUUUAAAAAGAUAAUCACCGUUACAAGAAAAAUGUUAAAUUUAAUCAGAUUAGCUAACUCAUGAGUUUUUUUCUUUCUAAAAAUAGGCUACUUUUUCUUCUUAAAUAAACAAAUGUUUUAAAAUGACUAUUUUACAGACUCUGAUAGCUUACUGGACCAUUUUGGUGGCUAAUGUAAGCUUUCGAUUUCAGGCCUAGCGUCUAGGUUGGGUUGGGAGGUUACAGAAAAUCUCUUGCCCCCAAAGCUUACCCCAUCCCUACCCCAUUUAACAAAAUCAUAUCAUAAUUAAGAUUCAUAGGUUGCUUUAGAUAUAACUUUUUUUAACAUAUAAAUUUCUAUUUAGUACAUAUUUAUAUAAAAAAAAGUAAAUAUGAAAACUUAGUUCAUGAUAAAGUUAAUUGUUUGGUUUAAUAUUGUAGACUUAAUUUAAGAAGUAAAUUUUUUGUCAAGAUUUAACUCACUAACUAAACUGGAGUGUUGUUAAAAUCGGAUCAGAUUGAUUGAAUCGAAAAUUAGUUGAUAUAUCAAUUCGAACAAAGGGAUUGAACUAGCUUCUGAGCAAAUUGCUCGAGCUUGAUAAAGAAUUGGAAAUUGGGAUAGAUUGUCAAUGAUGGAAUUGAUCAGUGGUAGAUCUUGAGACUAAGUUUUGCGGGAACCUAAUUAAAAUUUUCAAAAUCUCUAAGAGUUUAAUGAGAAUUCUUUUAAAAAAAUUUUGGGGGGACUAAUUUAAAUUUUUUGUCAGAUUAAUGAGAAUUUCAAAAAACUUUAAGAGAACUUAAUUAAAAUUUUCAAAAAGAAAAAUAGGUAUAAUGAGAAGUUUUAAAAAUUUUGGUGGGACUAAUUAAAAUUUUCUAAAAGUUUUGAGGGAGAAAUGUAAUAUUUUCAAUAAUUUAGGCCUUAAUUAUUUUUUAAUGGAGAAAUGAAAUUUUUUCAAAAUUUUGGGGGGCCAAGGUUGCCCUGUCCAUCAUUAUGAUCCGCAUCUGGAACCAAUUAAAUUAGUUUAAUUUUUAAAUAAUUUUUAAUUAAUUAAUUAUUUAUGAUUGAAUUGACUUUGGGACCUCUUUGCUUGGAUUGGCAUAUUAACGAAUUCUUGAUCCAAUCCGACUAGUUAAUACGAUCAAGUUACAAAAACAUUAUAAUUUAUUGAGUUGAAUUUUUUAAAAAAAAAACUACCUCUUAAAGUAAAUCUACAGUAUUAAACCAAAUAAUUAGCUAGUUUGUUUAAGUUCCAAAAACAUUAUAAUUUAUUGAGUUGAAUUUUAACAGAAAAAAAAUUGACUCUUAAAUUAAAUCUACAAUAUUAAUUUUAUCAAGAUUAAGUUUUUAUAUUUAUUUUUGAAUUAGUAUCUAGUACACAAUCCACAAGUAAUCUUCAAAAAUAGACAUAUAUUUAUUUUUAAAAUAUUUAUUUAUUUUUAAUAUUUUAUUAUUCCCUUAAUCUGAAUUUGUUAUUUUUAUUAUAUAUAAUUAUAUGAUGAAUGUAAGAUUUAUAUAUUAGAAAAAGUUAAAUCUAAAUCAAAUUGCAACUUAUGGAUCUCUUUUUCCCUUCUAAAUUCAUUUUUAAAAUUUAAUAUGUAUUUCUCAAAAACAAAGAACUAGUUGAUGAAAAUAUCAUGUUAAUUCAAUAAAACUCAACCUAUUAGACUAGUUUAAUCCUCCUCGAUAUUCAAUUUUCUAUUCUAUAUGUGUGGAAUUGUUAUAUAAGUUGCAACUAAGAAAAUACGUGGUAUGAUUUUGCUAAGUGGGCGGUUCCUAUUAGAGAUGCAACAUUUUUUGGAUAAACACCAUGAGUUUUUAAUCCCAUCUUUACCUUAUCAAACUAUAAAUUUUCAAAUAUUUUCAUUAUAUCUUAAAUUAUCGAUAAUAUCUCAAUUAUGUCAUUUUAUUAUUAAAGCCUUUAAUUUAACUGUUGUUGCAUUAAGUAAAAAUUAAAAAUAAAGAGAGUAAGCAAUAGAGCUUUUGUAAAAUCUUCGAAAACCUUAAAAAUUAAGAUUUUUAAAACAUCCAUUUUUACGAUAUUUAUUUUUUAAAAAUUUUCAUUUUAAAUUACAUCACAUAAGGUUUGACAUGUCAUUUAACAAUUGAAUUAAUGAUUUUAGUAACGUAAGAACUCAAAAUGAUAUAACUACAAUAGUUUGGGGAUGUACUUAAAAGUUUUUGAAAUUUAGAACCAAUUUAAAAUGAAGGUCAUAAUUUAGGGGUGUUCAAUGGAAUUAACUCUUAUCUUAUUAGCUACUAUCUUUUGUAGCGUUUUGGAGUGUUGCUAAUUAAGGGUGAACAAAACUCGAUUAAAAAAAUUCAAAUAUCAAGUUAAUUGAAUCAAGUUGUUUGAGUUAUUCGAGUUUCGAGUUUGGGUCGAGUUGAAUUUUACAAUUCGACUAAUUCAAAUAAUAUGUUAGUGUAAAUACCUCUUUGGUGCCUGUCAAUUUUGAAAAUGAGCAAAUUGGUUUCUCUCUCAACAAAAAUUACAAAAAAGAAAAUUCAAAAUAAUUUUAAAAAAUUCAAAAUAUUCAUAAAAAAUCUAAAAUUUGUAUUUUUAAAAAAUAUAAAAAAAUCUAAAGAAUAUAUAUAAAGAGAGUUAUAUUUUAAAAUUUUUCUAAAACAAUAAAUCUAGAGACCUAAAUAAGUUAAUUAAUGUUUCAAGUUUAUCAUACUAAAAUAAAUUAUUUCUUAUUAUUUCGCUUUGAAAAGGUUUUCAAAUAUAUAUGAUUUCAAAUGUAUGUGCUCUAACAUGGUAUUAGUUAUAAUGUAACAAGAUUUUAAUUUGACAUGUUUAAUUUUUUAAUUUAACUCGAACAAUUUCACUUGAUUCGAUUUGAAUUUCAUUUCACUCUUUCACUCAACUCGAUUCGAAAAAAAUUUCAAAUCAAGUUAGGAUGAUAAAAUAAGACUCAUCAACUUAAUUAACUCGAAAUUUUUUUACUCGAUUCGAUCUAACGCGCACCCCUAUUGCUAAUUUCUAAAAUAAACUCUAUUGCAUAUACUUCUAAAACAUAAGCAAUUUUUUAAUAUCAUUAUGCUUCUUUUAUAAUUACCAUUUAUCUCAUUCACUUUUAAUAACUUUACAAAAUAAAAGUUGAAACAAAAUAAUUACAAAUACUACAAUUUUGGUGUAUUAGAAAAAGAAAUUAAUAUUUGAAAAUUUAAUUUCCUUCCAAAUGUAACAAUGAGAUCCAGUAUUAAAAUGACUCUAAACAAAAUGCUAACUAUAACAUAAAUAAAAUCAAUAAAUAUAUUGAAAUUUCAGUAAAAUUGGCAAAUAAUCUCUUAAUUUAAUAGUAAAAUAUUUGUGUUGUAUGAUACAAGAGUUUAAAUUCACUCCAAAAAUCUUUUACCUCUUCACUCACACUUAUCAAACAAUAAAAUUAACAUUUAUACUUUAAUUCCAACUCGAAUAAUUUAAAUUCACACCUAAGGUGAAAUUUGUUAAUUCUUUUCAUUUUUAUGAUUUGAGGACGUUGGUUUGAAUAUGGAGAUUAAUCACCUUUUCUUUAAUAAAAUUAUUGAGAAUAGUUUUAAACGAUAAAUUUGGAUUCAGAUGAGAUAUCGAAGAUUAAAAAGAAUAUACUUAAAAAAUCAAAUUUUAUAUUUUUAGAGCUGAAAUUUUAAUGAGGGAAAAGAACAGUUGAAAUAGAAUUCCAUGGUGAAACAUGAUAAGAGAAAAAAUCCAAUUACUUGGGCAAUUAUUGUUUUGAAAAGCAAAGCUUAAAGCUUGAUUUGUAAUUAAUUGACAAAUGAGAAAGACAGUUAGAGAUGAAGCAAGUGGCAAGAUUCCUUUUUAAUUGCCAUUUCCUUUUAUCGUAGAAAUGGACAACGAAUGGAAACCCCAAUCCAACAAAGUAGUGCGAAAAGAUAUAUAAAACCUAAUCCUUUGAUAUCAAGACAUGUGGUUCACAUUGAGCAGCAUACACCAAGCCUGCCCUACUUCCCCUUCUUUCCUUCACAGCUCUCCUACUUUCUUUGAGAGAAUAAUUCUUUCAUAAUCUUCUUCUUCUUCUUCUCUUUCCUCUCUCUUCCCAGUUCACUAAAUGAUACAUCCUAAAUACCUUUUUUACCCUUUCAAUAUAAAAAUAUAAAUUUAAUUGUUACAUUAAGUUAUUUUUUUAAUUUAAAAUAUCAUGUUAGACAGGAUCGAUUGAGUGAGGUAGCCCACCCAGCCUACUGCCUACUACGGUAUUUAUAAUGAAUAUGUACCAUAAUAAGCUGUAUAAAUUAUGUUAGAAGUAGGGUAGAAAAGAAAUGUUAGAUGAAAGAUACAGUUGAUUGGGUGUCGGGUGAAGUAGAAAGGAGUUUAUUUUAUUUUAAGCAUAAUACUGAAAAGCUUAUACGCCUAUCAGAUAAGAGAAAUGAGAGAAGAAAGAGGAUGUAGCUAGAUUGCCAAAAAUAGAUUAAUAAAGGAGAAAAGAAAUUAUUUGCACCAAAAAGUAAGGUUGGCAUGAAAAUAUUCUUUAUUUUGUUAUAAUCGUUUUCUUCUCCAUAUUUUCACACUUCUAAUAGUUGGGAAAUGGAAAUGAUGGGAUGUGCUAGUUUAAUGGGCAAUCUUUGACACCCAACUGCACAUCAAUUACAACAGUUCAGCAUCCUACUAGAGGAUCAAAGCUAAUAGCUAGCAAUCAACAAUCCAAAAAUAGCAACAAAACACGUGCAUUUACAAAAAGGUAAAAAUUAAAAAAAAAAAAGUAGAGAAUUGUAUCAUUGGGAAUCUGUAGCUGGAUUUUCAUCUCCACUGUCACUGCCUUGAGUUUGAUUUUCAUGAUGAUGCUGCUGUUCCAAAUUCAUUUUUAAACCCACUCUAUUAUUGUUGCUGUAAACAUUCAUUCCACUGCCAAGUAACCCCAUGUUAGUCUCCGUCACUCCUAAACCAAGCUGUUGACCCCCGGCCUGCUGUUGUUGCAAUAUCAUUGAGCCCAGCUGAACCGGAUUCCCUCUACCCCCACCUGAAUAAUGAGCCGGGAAUGUCCACAUCUGGGCUUCUGGCACUGUAGCUGAAGCUGCUGUGGCGCCACCGCCUACCGGCAGCAUCCAAAAGGCAUUACCUCCAUUGGUGGUGGCCGGUGCAACGGCCCACAUAGCUGGAGCUGGCAUGACGUUGGCUGUUUGAAACAAACCGGGUUCUUGUUCUGGCAUUCCGGUUCUCUCCGGUUUAGGAGAAUUCGCGUCUAUGGCACCCGUUUCAGCAUUGUGCUGAGAUGUUUCUUUGAAAAGGUCAUCUCUGAAUGGCUUUGUAGCGUAGUUGUCGUUAGGGUUACUGCCACUUCUCAUGUGAGUUUCGGGGUGAAGGAGCUGAGGGUAAAGUUGAUGAUGAAACCCUAGCAUGGCGGUACUGUUGCCGAUCCUUCUGGCCUCAUCUCCAUUACUGUUGUAAAAACCUAAAGCGCUGUGGAAAGAGAGAGGUGCGGAUUUUGAUGAAGGAGCUGAAAUGGUUGAUCCACUGCUGCGAAGUGAAACGUUGAGAGUGGAGAAAUUGGCUGGAAUAGUGCCGGUUCCCGUUGCAGCUAUGAUGGCAGGUUCCGCUUGUUGAAGCAGCCACUCGAUGGUCUCACCAUCUGAUUUAUGACCCAAUUCUCGGGUGAGUUGGAAGACCCUGGCGGCGCAAACGGCGGGCAUUCGGAUGCGACGGCCGCGGCCAUCGACCUUGGUGUGACGGUCUUUGGUGGGUCUUUUGGCAGCAGGAGGCUUAGCGAGGGAAGAAGUGGAAGUAGGGGAGGAAGAGGGAACCCCAAUUUGGUUGGAAAUGGAGCCCAUGAAUGAGACAUGAUGACCUGGGGCCUGAGGCUGUGCCUGAGUCUGAGCCUGAGCCUGAUGGGAGGAGGUCCCAUGUGCGGCACCAGCAGCAGCUUGUGGUUGACCAUCACGGGAGACUAGUUGCAGUGAAGCUUCUUGUUUUUGGCCAUGGUGAUGAUGAUGAUGCUCACUGCUAUUGCUGCUUUUAUUGCUCUGUGACUCCAUUAUCAGCAUAUGGGGUUUCCAAGGAUUUCUUUGUCUGCCAAAUUAAACCAUCUCAAAAAAUGAAGGCCCUAUAUUAUUUAUUUUACUUUAUUUAUUUGUCAUUUAUAUAAAUAUUUAUUUUAUGUGUAAAGGGAGGGUUAUGAGUUGUGAUCCUAACAACACCACCGAUGUUAGUGCGUGAGGAUCUUCUUUUCUUCCUUGUGAUUGACUGCUGCUACGCUAUGCUAUCCACUGAGAGGAGUAGGUGAGAGAAGCAGCAACUAGAGCCAAUCCAAAUUAAAGCUUAAAAAAGAAACAGUAAAUUUUUUAGCACUACCCCACUCGUGGGGGCCCCUGCCUUCAAUCAUAAUAUCACAUCUGGUAAAACCCCUUUUAUCUUUCUACUGCUAAAUAUUGGGUAAUUUACAAAUAAAUUUUUUUUUUUUUUUUAAUUAUCGAAAUGGGUCUAUUUUUUAAUUAUUUAUCGGAAUGAUUUUUUUUCGGGAAAUCGCGUCCACGUCAGCACGAUGUCAGGAUACGCGUCAGGAAAUUGCGUCCACAUCAGCAUCUCGCGCUGACGUGGACGCUAUUUCGGUCCGCGUGUGAACAGUACCCAACGGUCAAAAAAAUAAAAUACCGGGCCUAUUUCGAUAAAUUUUAAAAAUAUAGGGCUUUUUUGGUAUUUUGAAAAAAUAAAUUUUGAAUUUUUUUGUACUUGUAUUUAUUUUUUUAAUCAAUUAACUCUUCAAUAUUACAUCAAUAGCAACAAGUACAAAAAAGAUUCAAGAUUGUUACCAACAAAAUUUGAACCAAAAUACUAAGAGAAAAGAGCAAGCAUCUUAACCAACUAAGCCAAACUAAUUAAUUGACAUAUUAUAGAAAUACAGUUAUUAUUUUAAUUAUAUUACUACGUUCUAACGAUUUAUCGGACCUAUUCCAUACACGUGUCAAAUCAGAAAAAAUAAUACAACAAUUCUGUAAAAAAAUCCGGUGUUUACUUCAAAUAAAUAAGGAAAAUAAUGAUUUGAAUGUUUCAAAAUUCAAUUUUAAACCGAAAAAAUCAAAAUUUAGGGGCAAAAAAGGAUCUUUUUCGACGAAAACUGCGGCAAACCGCCUUCAGCUGUUUGCCAGCGCGUAGAUCUCGCAAAGUUUUUAGAAAUAAAAAAAAUCGUCUCAAUCGGACAACCGAACGAAAAGUUAUGGCUUUUCAAAGUUUUCCAAGCUAAAAAACAUAAACUGUUCAUCCACGUUAGCAAAUCGCGUCCUCGUAGGCGCGAUUUGUGUCCACGUAAGCAAAGCGCGCUGACGUGGACGCGAUGUUCUGACACGUCCCCUGACAUCGCGCUGACAUGGACGCGAUUUCGGAGAAAAUGGCCCAUUUCGAUAAAUUUUUAAAAAAUAGGGAUUUUUUUAGUAAUUUGCCCCUAAAUAUUAUUAUUUUUAUAUUUAUUGUUCCGACAAACUUUAAAACUUGGAUAAUUCAUUACCCCCCAAUCACUUUCAAUUUAACCUAUGCCUUCUGUGGAUGAAAUUAUUUCAAUAAAUUUGAAUUGCUGUCAAAUGUCUUUUAGUAUGUUAUGCUCCUUUUACAAAAAUAAUUGCCCUAUUUAAUUUCCAUUUUUAAAAAAAUAAUUUUAUUAGUUUAAUGAUAAAAUCAAAAUUUUAAAAAUUUUGAGAUCCUAAUUAAUUCAAAUUUUAUCUCUGAUUAUGGUGGUUAAAAAAAAUUAAAACAAUCAUUUAGAUUUGAACUGCCCAACCCCAAUGAAACAAGAAAAAGUAAAGAUUGGAAUCCAUGCUCACCUUGACUAGGAACGACGACUUUGAGGUGUGAAAUGUUGAAAAUGUAAACAGAGAAAGACACAAGACUAAUAUAUCUUUUAAAGCAGGAUUUGUUUUUUUUCCCCCUUACAGCUCACUGAUUGAGUUAUUGCUGAUAAUGACAACGAUGAUUUAUCAUUAUUUCUUUAAUCAAGUAAUCACAAUAUAUAAAAUUACAUACAACACUUGUUUGUGGUUUUAUCAUUAUUUCUUUAAUCAAGUAAUUUCGAGAUUUUUUUUAAAUUAUCGUUACGCUUAAUAGUAUCGAGGUCUUUAAAUUACAUUAUGUAUUAAAGUAUUCAUCGUCUUAUAGGAAUCAGAGUAAUGACUUUAAGAUUUCUUUUAAUUAAAAUUAAUCUUUUCACUGUAGGUGCUCUUCAAAGAGAUAAAUGGUUCACAUGAUUAAGAGAUGAGGUGAGCAACCACCAUGCCAACCAUGUGAUUAAUAUAUCUAUAAUUGAUUUUUAUUGAUAAAGAGUUAAACCCUAACAAAUACAAAAUGAGCUCAACUUUUGUAACCUUCCCAACCCGGCCUAGACGUUAGACUCGAAUUCAGAAGAAUACAUUAGCCACCGAAGUGACUCGGUGAGCUAUUGCAGUUUUGAAAACAAUCUUUUUAAAAAUCUUUGUUUAAUUUAGUAGGAAUCUUAAUUACAUAUCAAUUAAUUCUUCAAAACCUUAAUUAAGAUAUAGCAGCAGAAAAAUGAUAGGUGGAUGCUUUUAAAUAAAAACUGGGGUUUCAUGCAUACCUUAUAAAUAAUAAUCUCUUAUUAUCCUAAAAUAAAAUUAAGUGUCAUGCAAAAUAAAAUCCAUAAUCUCAAAUCCCAUGACAUGGUUCAAAAUAAGAUAAUAUGGUUUAAUAAUUGGAAUAAUAACUCUAAAAUAUUUUAGUAAAAGCAAAGUUGAGACCCUCCAGAUGUCGCGUCUACAUCCUAACCUAGCGGGUUAUCUGUCAGGAUGAAAAUUAAAGGGGGAGUGAGCUAUGAAGCUCAACGUGAGUUCCAUCACAAAUAAAUCCGUGCCAAAUAGUAAUCCAAGCAUAAAUAAUAACAGUUUUCAAUACAUUAGUAUUCAUAUAGCAUAGCAGAAAUUGGCAGUCCAUUCAAGCAUGUUAAUGCGUGAUGAUGCAGUACAUUUAGCAAUUUCAGUUUAAUAGUAUAAUUAAAUCCUACCCCACCGCUACACUCCAUAGUAAGAAUUCCCUAUAAUUCUUAUAUCCCGAACACUCCAGUUUGUGGAUAAACCACCAGCGUUACAAGUUAUAGCAAUUUCAGUUUAACAGUAUAAUUAAAUCCUACCCCACCGCUACACUCCAUAGUAAGAAUUCCCUAUAAUUCUUAUAUCCCAAACACUCCAGUCUGUGGAUAAACCACCAGCGUUACAAGUUAGUAAGCGUCAGUAAUUGUGAGUAUGCAACGGGUCAGAAAAAUGCUAAAAGAGGUUAAAUUGUCUAAGUGAUACACACUUCACGUUAGCUAGUUUUACUUUUUUCUCUUCAUCUUUUAGGGUUUAGUUCUUCUUCUCUAUAGCUUAGGGUUUAUCUUCUUGUUCAUUUUCUGGUUUUUCUUAUUUCCUUAGCUGCUAGUUAAACUAGUUAUUAUUGUAGCUAGGAUUUAUUUACUUGUUAAGCUCUUCAAACUUUCUUGUAUUUGCACUUUAAUCCAUUAGUUUAAUACCACUCAGGUUUGUUAUAUUUCAUUUGUUAAAAAAUAUUAUCUUAGGUGUUUUUAUUUAUCUUCUUUGCUGCCAUUAUUGUGUUCCUCAAGCUUUUGCAAGAAAGCUUGAGUUUUUAUCAACUUUCUUUUAGGUUAAGUUAAUGGCGUUUCUCUUUAAUUUCUUAUUGUUAAUGGGUUCAAAUAUGAGCAUGAGUAGAUAAAACCUAAGUGGUUGGUUGAUGAAAGUGAUGGCUAAUUGAUUUUUGGGUUCAGGGACUAAAUCAUAAAAAUUGGACUAAAUCAAAUAGACUUAAAAACAUACAAUUGAUGACCCUAAAGGAAAAUUAAAAUAAGUGAGACUGAGAGGAGAUCUUAUCGAACAUCUGUAACAACCCAAUUUUUAGUAGUGUAGGAAACAGUGAUUUGGGAUCACUAAAUCCGACAAGUAAGCUUAAAAAUUUAAUAAAUUAAUAAUUAUGGGUCAAGUGUGAAUUUAGAAGAAUUUUUGAAUUAGUGAAUUUUGUGAUUUAAAAAGAAUUUAUUAGGUAAAUUAGGUCUAAAACGAGAUAUCGAGACCUCAAAUUCAUAAGCCGAGCCAUAAAUAUUUUUAUAAAUAUUUAUGGAGUGUCAUUGAGUUAGUAUUAAAGUUUUGUUGAAAAAUUUAACGUUGGGAUAGUCAAUUAAUUAAAAAGGACUAAAUUGAAAAUAGUGCAAAAUUUGUUAAAUUAUGAUUAAAUAGCUUAAGUGACUAAUAAGGAGGGAUUUAAAAGGCAAUUAGGCCCAAAUUAUAUGGGCUGGACAGUUUGGGCAAGAAAAUCAACAAGAAAAUAAGGAGAACAAGGGCAAAAUUGGAAAUUUUGCAAAUUAAACAUAUAAAACAAAGACAAAAUUGAAAAUCUAGAGAUUUCAUCAUUUGACUUCAGCCAAAACGCCAUAGGAGAGAGUUUUCAAGCUUUUUUUUUUUCAUAUUUUUCAUCAUAUAAGUUCAGUUUUUACUUUUUCUUCGUAAUUUUCAUGUUUUGUGACUUUUACAAUUAAGUCCAACUAUUGAAUUCAUUUGUUUUUGAUUCUAUGAAUGAUUUUCAAAGUUACCAUGAGUGAGUACUGGAAUUUUUUGAUGGAUUAUCAUAUAUUUUAAGCUUUAAUUUCAUUAUAUUAUGAUUUUAUUAAGUGAUUUUAGUAGAAAAUGAUUUUUAGGACCUAAUUGUGAAAAAGCUAGGAAUUGGGGUUUUGUAUUGAAUUUAUGAAUAUCAAAGGCUUUAUAAUAGCCUAAAAUGAUUAGAUAAAGUGUUAUUUGAGGAAAAUUUAGUUCAAUUAAAGUGUUAAUUGAGUAGGGACUAAAUUGUAAAAAUUGUAAAUUUUGGGGUAAAAGUGUAAUUUCAAAAAUUAAAGGGCAUAAAUUGUGAAGUGAAUUAUUAUUGAAUUAGAUGCUAAUGAGUGGAAAAUUUUAUAUUAUAGAUCAAGAAUUCGAAGAUAAACGCGAAAAAGAGAAAAUAUCAAACUAGUCUCUAAAUUUUUACAAAUUCUACUGAUUGGCCCAGGUAAGUUCAUAUGACUAAAUUUAAUGAAUUGUUAUGAAAAUUUCAUGAAUUCUAUGGUAUGUUAUUGUAUAUGAAUGUUAUUAAACUGAGAUAAUUGUGAAAAUAUGAAUGUUUGAAUAAAAGUUCUAAUUUAGUGGAACAUUGGAUUGAGUACUUUCGUUCAGUGACUCAUACGCAUUGACGAAAAAGACCAUGAUUGGACCAUGGCAAUAUGUGAUAUGUGGUUUCCAUAUAAGACCAUAGCUGGGCUAUGGCAUCGGUGUGAUAUGUGCUUCCGUGUAAGACCAUGGUUGGGUUAUGGCUUUGGUGUGUGAUAUGCGAUUAGUACAAGACCAUAGUUAUACUAUGGCAUUGUGAAAAUGAAGUACUCAAUUCCGUAACCAUUCCCUAAAUUGAUUAAGAAAAGUAAGCGAUAAAUGGACCCAAGAAAUUGAAAUUGAUUAUUAUUUGAUAUUGAGCUUAAUUAAGUAAAUAUUGAGGUAAGUAAUUUUAUUGAAUUGAAUGAGAAAUAUAUUUUAGUAUUGAAUUAUGUUCUAUGUGUUAUUAAAAGUAAAAUAUAUUGAUACAUGAAAUUUUGUGCUAAGGACUAAAUUACAAAAUAUAUAAAAGUGAUAUGUGAAAUACAUGAUAAGGAUUAUUAGUGAAUUAUGGAUGAAUAAUGAAUUUAGAAAUAUAUUACAUGUAUUAAAGAUAUUGAAGAUAUAAGUAUACGGAUUAUCGGUGCAAGGAUUAAAUUGUAAAGUAUAUAGAAGCAUUAUGUGAAAAGUGUAAAAGUGAUAUAUGUGCAUAAUAUAAUUUGCCCAAGUAGACGAGAUUAGAACUACUAGGAUAUUAGUGGCAUGCCAUCAAGGAACCUUAGCGUGCUCUCUGAUUAUUAGCACAUCAGUACUCUCUGAUUAUUAGCAUGUUAGUGCUCUCCGAUUAGCACAUCUGUGCUCUCUGUAUAGCACUUUAGGGUUCUCAGUUCAUUAGUGCAUAAUAAUGCACCUCUGUAUUUGUUCCGUAUAUCUGGUGUGUUCUAUAAAAUCUACUUUGGGCUAAGAAUAUGAAAUAGUAAAUUGAAAAUAGAAUGUGAAAUAUGUUGCAAAUAUAUGGAAUAUAUGAGUUAUAUACUCAUGAAAUGACUAUGGAAUGGAUAUUGCAAUUAUAUAAUGAAAUGUGAAAUAAUUUGUGAAAAGCUAUUUAUAUAGCAAGCAUGAGAAUUGAUAUAUUUGUGAAACAAAUGAAAUAUGAUAUGGUUGUUGUAAUAAACUCAAGUUUGACAUGUCGAGAAAAUAAGUUUAUCAAAGUUGAAUUUAUAUAUAAUAUGUGCAAGUACGCUAACUAGUGUGGUUGCUUGAUGCAUAGGCAAGUGUCAAGCCAUUGGCAGAAUGGUAAUAUGAUUAUUUAUAUAAUGCAUUGAAUUGGUAAGUAUUUAAGUGAAAAUAUGCUAGUGCUCAUGAAAAAGUAGUAAGGUUUAAAUUAUGCAAUUUUUUUAUGAAAUGACUUAUCAUGCGAUCAAUUUGAAAAAAAAAAAACUUUGGUUAAAUGCACUAGCUUGUGACCAUGGUUGAAUGAUAUGAUUAUGACUUGUGUGUUAGGCAUAUGGGAUAAAUGUGGAAAGAAUAAUGAUGACUUUAAAGAAUAAACUGUACUUAUUGGUUAAACCAUAAAUUUUAAAAAUUUUAUGGUAAGAAGAUAUGUGAGUCUAGUUUCAAAGAAAUUUAGCGAAUCUUAAUUCAGAGUUCCGUAGCCUAAAAUAUAGAUAAUUUAAUGGCAAUGGCUUGAGUGGACAACUCCGGUAACAUUCUGUAACCCUGUUCCGGCAAAGGAUGUGGGUUAGGGGUGUUAGAACAUCAAUUUUUAGUAUCUAUUUUUUAUAAAUUUUUUAAUUUUAAAUAUUUUUGUAUAAUUUUAUGAUUUUUAAAUGAAAUACCAAUUUUUGUCAUGUGAUAUAACCUUGACAGGCCAAAUGACGAAAUUGUUACAAAAAAAUCGCAAUAGCUACUCUUAAAAAAAUAUAUAUAUAUAUAUAUAUAUAUAUAUAAAUGGAGGCUUUUGAAGUUUUAGGUCAUAAUAAAAAAAAAAAAGAAAAAAUCAUGGUAGUUGGUUCUAUAUUGGAUCUCGUCGUAUUGGUCGGUGCUCAUCAUUCUAGUGCUAAAGCGGGACAAGUAGUAAAUUUUUCGCAUCGGUAAAAAUUUUAGUUUAUACUGGUUACACCGAUUAGUUCCAGUCAAUUUUGAUUACAGUGGUCGAAAUAUGAUACAUGAAUAAUAGUAAAAAUUAUAAAAUUUUUAACUAUUUAUCUAACAACCAAUUUUUAGUGGUGACGGAAUAGUAGUUUUGAGACCACAAAUUUUCCUCGUAUCAACUCAUAAAUAUUAUUUUUAGAAUAUUUAUAGAGUCAUUAUAGUCGUAUUAAAAUUUGGUUAAGAAAUAUUAAUGUUUAGUUAGUUAAUUAAAGAAAAAGGACUAAAUUGAAAAAGGCGCACAAUUUGCUAAUUAUAGCAAUUAGGUGAUGAAAUAGUGUAAUUAUUAAUUGAGGAAGGACUUAAGUGAUAAUUAAGCCCUAAAUAAUAUAUUGGGAUGACAAAUUGAUGGAUAAGGACAAAAUAAUGAAAUUAUAAUGGCAAACUUAUAAUUUAGUUGAAAUUAAAACAAAAUUAAGUAAGAAGAAAUAGGUUUUCUUCUUCAUUUUCUUCUUUUUUCACUGUCGAAACACCAUAGAAAUAGCUUGGAGAAUCGGUUGAGCAUGGGAGCUUCCAUGUGAGUUCAAUUCUUACCCGUUUCUUGUAAUUUUUAUGUUUUUGAGAUCGUUGUAAUUAGGUCCAACUAACCUGUACCUUCGUUUCUGAUUCUGUUUAAAAUUUUGGAAGUUUCCAUUGAUAAAUAUUAGAUUUUUUUUCUAUAAAUAACAUGGAUUUUGAUCUUUGAUUGUGUUGUGUGAUGAUUUUGUAAAGUGAUUUUUGUUAAAUAUUGAUUUUAGGAUUAAAUUGUGAAAAUGUCAAAAUAUUAGGGUUUGAUAGUGAAUUUUAAGUUUAUUAGGGGCUGUAUGAGGGCCUAGAAUAUUUGGAUAUAUUAUUUAUUUGAGAAAAUUAGUUAAUUUGAUAGAUUAACUAAUUAAGGGAUUAAAUUACAAAAAUUGUAAAAGUUUGGGGUAAUUGCGUAAAUUUGAAAAAUAAAAGGGUAUUAAUAGUAAAAUAGAUUGGAAAUGAAAUAUAUGCUAAUAAAUGAGUAAAUUUUAGAUCAAGAUCCCGUAGAUACUCGUGAAAAAAGAAAAAUAGCAGAAUAGUCCCUGAACUUCUACAAUUACUACAAUUCAGUCCAAGUAAGUUCGUACGGUUAAAAUUUAACAUUUGUAUAAAUUUAUGAUUGGUAUUAUGCAUAUAUUCUAUUGUUGGAAUGAAUAUUGUUUGAAUUAUAAUAUUAAAUUGGAUAUUCGGUUUGAAUUGAAUGCGAGAUUUGAGUACAUUCGUGAUUUGGUGUAUGACAGGGGUUUGGAUUGGAGAUGGUAUUGGAGGGAGAUAUCGACAUUUUACCCAAGUAAAUCGGGGUUCAACAUUUGUUGUGAACUCUCGUGUUUUACUUUUUGUUUGUCAUGAUUGGGUGGAUCAACUCUUACGAGCUUUUGUUUAGCUUUUGAGCUUCUGCUGGCGUAUUCGGGAGGACCAGCUCUUAUGAGCUUCUGUUGAUGAUGUACUCUUACCCGUAAGUCAUUUUUCAAAUGGAAAAAUCUCGGUUGAUUUAUUUAAUGAAUUUGAAAGACAUGUAAUUUAAUUUUGUAUUGAUUUGAAUACGGAUGCAUUUAUCGAUUGAAGUUGUGAAUGACAGGGAGUUUUCUUGGAUGAUUUUUAUUAUUUGAUUUAUUAUAGUUAGUUCGGUAAGCUUUUUGUUUAUCUCGUCGAACUUACUAAGCUUCAUUAAGCUUACUUUUGUUGUUUAAUGUGAUUGUAUAUUUUCGGAAGGUUGGACGAUCGGAUCGGCACUCAAGUCACACUAUUCAGUUUAUCUUGGUAGUUUUUGAAACGUUAAAUUCGGAUUAUAUGGCAUGCAUAGGCUCUUGUGCUAUUUUGGUUAAUGUUUGGCUUAUGUAAAUGUUAUGUGUUGACACCAUUUUUUUGCUAAAACGGGGUUGACUUGGGUUUUAAAAACAAAAACGAAAAUGGGAGUCGCCACCAAUCUUUUUGAUAAGGUGUGAUCGGGCCACCUUGAAAAAUGGUUGUUUUUAAUAAACGAUUUAAUUUUUAUUAAAACAACGAUUUUGGUCUAUGAAAUUAAGAAAAACGGGUUCGGGAGUCGGUUACGUACGAGGAAGGAUUAGCACCCUCGUAACGCCCAAAAUUGGUACCUAGUUGAUUAUUUAAUGUCUUGAUGUCGAAAAUUGAAAUUUGAAGAAUUUUUAAAAAUACGAUCCUUGUAUUAAAAUGUUGAAAAUGUUUGAGUAAAAGGGGCAUAUUUCACGUUAAUCGGGGAAUAGAAUCAUAUCCAGUAAGUUAGGACACAAUGUCUCAAAUUCCCGAUAUGCGAAUGAAUGCCAAAAUUUUACUUAUUUAAAAGAUUAUUUUAUUAUCUCGGGUUUGGAAAAACGAAUCAUGCCCAGUAAGUUAGGACACGAUCUUUUCUUAAUUCCCUAGAUCGUUUUAAAAUUUGAGUUUGAAAAGAUUCGUGUAUUUAGAUUUAUUAUAAAAAUCGAAACCCAGUAAGUUAGGGUACAAUUUUUUCGAAUCUAAACACGAAACGCCAUUUUUUAAACAAAUGUUGUUGUCGAAUGAAAUGAAAUACGAAAACCACAGUAAAAAUGCGAAAGCUGAUAAAAUCAUAAUGCACGCAGAAGUAUGAAAAUGAUGCGGGCAAUAGCAGCAAUACAAAAUAAAUAGAAGUCAUACUUACAAUUAUAGAAAAACAUUACAUAUACAAAUAAAUUAAAAUAUUUAUUCAAAAUAAUAUAGAAAAUGAAAUAAAUGAGCAAUAAAUACAAAAUAAAACAAUAGUAAGGAAUAGAAAUAUAAUGCAUAUAUAUAUACGUAUAUUGAAAUUAUAAAGUACAAAAAAUACAUAUAAGCAGGUAUUAAUGUGUUUAUGAAAAUGAAAAUAUGGAUAUAUACAUAUAUAUAUAUAUAUAUAAAUAAUUUAAAAAUGUAUGAAAAUAUGUAAGUGCAUAUAAGUUAUAAAAAUAGGUACGUAUGUAUAUGUAUAUAUAGAUUAUAAAAGGGUGGGUACAUAUAUAGGUAUGCGUGUAUACAUACAAAUAUAAAAGGUUAUGGGAACAUAUAUGUACAUAGAGCAUAAAGUAUCAAAUAUAAAUAAUAUAUAAGUACAUAUAUACAAAAAACAAAUAAAGAUAUGUACGGAUACAUUGUAAAACAAAUAAAAAUAUGUGUAAACAUAUGUAAUACAAAAGCCUGUAUAUUAUAAAAGACAUAUGUACAUAUAUAUAUAAAUAGCAACACCUAAAGUUUUAAAAAGGGGUACGAGUAAAUGAAUAAUAGUUAUUAGUAAUAAUAACGUUAAUAAUAAUAAUAAUAAUAAUAAUAAUAAUAAUAAUAAUAAUAAAUGAUAAUAUAUUAAAGAAAAUGAUGAAAAUGUUAAAAAGGGGACUAAAUCGGAGUAAAGUCUAAAAUAUGGGUCGGAAUCGAAAUAAAAACAAAAAGGGACUAAGUUAUGUAACGCACCGAAAUACAGGGGACCAAAAUGAUAAAUACCCCGAAGCUGCAAAACGCUACGCUUAGACGUGGACUAAAAUGAACCAAGAAUAAAAAUUUGUGGCUGAAUCGAAAAUAUGCGGAAAACUUCCAUGGAAGCGCUAUAAAAUCAAAAGGACUAAUUGCGAAAAUAUUCCAUUUUAAGAAAGCACGCGGAUCCUACCCUGGGUCGGGUCACACGCGCGGGUUGAGGGCCUUUAAACGGCGCCGUUUCGUUUAGGGUAUUUAAAACCAAUUUUCCUUAAAAAAAUUCAUUUCUAGGGUUUCCUUUUUUAAAAAACUGCAGAAGAAAGAAAAAAGAUCAUUCUUCUCUCAACUCCCCCCAUCGUCGGUCAAAUGGGCCACCGUCGACCCCGCCGUGAGCGGUGGUCAGAAGCCCAAACGUCGGUCUUUUAAACCCUGCUUCAAGGACCAACUGAAGACCAAGUCUUCAUGGCCUUGGGGUCGCGAGAGAAAAAUCAAAUCGCUGCCUUCCCCGCCCAAUUUCGGUGACCCGAAGUAGGACUCCGGCGACGACGCUUGCGAGGCGAUUCAGGUAAGGUUCUUUCUCCCCUUUUUUUUUUAAAAAAUAAAUAAGUAAAUAAAUAAACCCUAAAUAAAUGGUGACCUUUCGGCCUCAACGCCCCUUCAAUCACGGUCCAAGCGAAACCUUAAAGGCUUUCGUGACCCCGACGAACGGAGAAGAUCUCCGACGGUGGUCUAUGGCCGAUCCUCAGGUACGUUUCAAAACCUCUUUUCUAUAUUUAUUUUGGUUAUUAUUCUUAUCUAUAACAGUGUAAAAAAGCAUAAUAAAAAAAGAAGCAGAGGCGCGAAGUAAAAAAAUCAACCUUGAUACUUUGAUUGCUUUCGUUCUCUGUUUUUAUUCCUUUUUUUUCAGAUUACAUUUUUCUUCAGGCUUUAUAGCCGAUUACAAAGGUUCUCUCUUUUUCUCUGUGUUUUUGUCCUCUUUUGGCUUUGUUUUGCAGGGUUAGGCAAGGUCAACGGAGGUGACCUUGCCAUUUCGGUGCAAAGGGGAGGCAGACCUCGGGACGAAGCACCUCGGGUGGCCCGAAAAGGGGGGAACGGCGCGAGAGGGGAGGGAACCCUAGGGUUCUCUGGUGUUUGCUUGAUUUUGGGCUCCAAUGAGCCUUCUAUGUUUUUUAGAAUUUGGGCCGUUUUAGGUCUGUUGUAAAUGGGUUAUUUAAUUUUGGGCCCGGGCUUAAAUUGAGUCCUACAUUAUGAAUGAUAUUUUGUGCAAAUAACCAAUUUGCAAAGGGUAUGAGAAUGAGGUAUAGUUGUUAUGCUUGUAUGUGUGGCUUACAUAUAUUUGAUGUAUUGUGGUUGUGGUAACUUUGUUAGUUAUUUUGAUUUGGUAUUGCUUGAAUGAGUUGAUGAAUUACAUAAAUGUGUAUUUUGAGAUUAAAUUGUAUAUAAUUGUGGUACCAAUGAAGGUACAUCGGUUAGGCACAUAUUAGGUUGGUUUUGAUGUGUUUUUGACCCGAUUAAUGUCAAUUUUGAUUUUGUAUUUUAGUUAGUAUUUGAGUUUCUUAAGGUCCAAGCAAUUUGAUUAUGUUUGUAUUAAUGUUUGAUUUGAAUGAUUUACUAUUCCGUCGUCCUGUAAUACUCCAUAACCUUAUUUUGACAACGAAUACGGGUUAGGGAUGUUACAAUUUACUAUUGUCAGACUGAGGAGGCCUCAAAAUUUAGAGGAAAUCUCAUUUUUCCUUAGAAAUUUUUUAAAAAUUUAAUUAGGCCUUCUCAACAUUUUUGAAAAUUUUCAAUUCUUCCUUAAAUUUUUUUUAAUUUUAAUUAAACUCUCUUAAUUUUUUUUAAAAAAAUUCUCAUUAAACUUAUAAAAUUUUUGAAAAUUUUAUUAGGCCCCCAAAAUUUAGUCCCAAGAUCUACCAUUGACUAUUAUUAUUAUAAAAAUUAAUUAGAAUGUAUUGACCAAUCAAAAAAACCUUUUAAACUUUGAAUUUUUUGGGACAUACUUUCACAUUUAAAAUAUAAAAACUAAAAUAUAAUAAUAAUAAAAUUCACUCACUCAAUUAUCAAAGAAAAAAAAAUCCCCACUCAACCUUCAGUUUCUUUUUUCUUGUUAAUUUUGGUUUUAUUGAAUGAUGUAUUUUUAUUUGUGGAGUUUAUUAAUGAGUAUUUUAUAUAAUUGAUGAAUAUUUUAUAUUUAAAUUUUAUUCAGGAUAAUUUAUUUGAUAUUUCUAAAUAUUUUCAUAUACAACAGUACAUCGAAACGAAUCGGUACCAAAACUUAUCAGUUCUAGUAGAAAAAAUAAUGCGAUCACCUGUGCAGUACUGAUUAUUUUAGGCAAAAGAGAAAAUAUGAGAAGGUAGAAAAUUAAAACAAAUAAAAUAAAUUGAAUUUAUUUUGUUUUUUUAAUUUAUUAAUAUUAUAUAAUUUUCUUAUAAGUAAUUUUCAAAUAUAAUAUAUUAAUUAUAUAAAUAUAAAAAUGAAAAUAUUUUAUACUUUAAAGAAUAUUAUUUUUAACACACUUACAAAUAAUAUUUUGUUUAACUUUUAAUUAUAUUUAAUAUAGUAAAUUAUAAGAAAAAUUAAUACAAUAUUUAUAUAUUUAGUUUUAUCCAAUGUUAUUUAUAAAUUUUGUAUUAAUUUAUUUUAUAUUUUAUUAUUAAAUAUAAUUAAUUUACAUUUAUAUAAAAUAUAUUUUUUUAUAAUUAUACGGUAAAAAUGUUUUUUUUUUCUAGUUACUCCUUGCGUAUUCCCUAUCAGUAUUUUAUCCAACCAAAUAUUGUAAUUGUUGAAGGUAGUGUUUAGCUAUCCAUGGUUCUCUUUUAUCUAUGGUCCUUCCUUUUGUUUGCUUAAAGAUGGAAAAUUAUGUUAUAACAGCACCAUCAGAGGAAUUAGAAGUUGUUUUUAAAGUUUUCUUUCAUCUUUUGGAAAUUUGAAGAACAUUGAGAUGGUUUUAAGUCGAAUGUUUGAUAAUACAAUCAUUGCCAUGGAUAUUGGGUUGCCCUGCUGGAAUGUAAUAACAUUGUACUUUGCAUCUUUAGUUUUGCUGUAGCUAAAUGUUUCAUUAACAAGAUUGAGAAUUUUCCAGUUUUCGUUUUCCUUUUUGGACAUCUACUUUUCAUCCUUUAUUACAGGGAAAUAGAGAGUGAAGCCUCUGAAAGUGGAUAAAUAUAAAAUAAUUGCAGUAGUGGACAUUUCGAGUAGCAAUGGCUCUUGGAGGCAGUGCUUGCAAAGAAGUCGUUGAGGCUCAUUCCCCUGUUGCAGAUAAUGACAUAGCUUCAACAACAUUUGUGAGUAAUACUACUAGUACUACUACAACAACGAAAAGUGCUGUUAGUAUGGUUGGAAAACAUGGAGCACGGGGGUGUCUUAAGGCGGAGGCCUCCAAGGGAGAAUGUGCAAUCGAAGAAAUCUAAGCCCUCCAAUGCAUGAGUGCAAAGAAAGGAGUGAAUUAAGUGUCCACAUCGUGGAAGUAAAGGAACCGAGAGUGAAGGUUAUGAGAGUUGCGAUGGUUGAGAGAAGCCGAGGGUAGAAGUUGUGGCAUAGUGACCCCAAAGAAGUCACUCACGUAGAAGGCAUCGAUACAUAUAAUCAACAACGAGGGCAUUGCUAGAACGAGUGGGGAGAAUAUCACGAACUACCCAUGAAUAAAGCUAUCCAAAGAACUAGAUCAAGUCUGAAAUGAUGCAAGCACAAGAAAACCGAGUCAAAAGAUUCUUGGAUUAUCCCGAAAGACUUUAGAACUCUAGAGAAGGGACUAAAUCUUUGUAGAACUAAUUAGAAUUAAGCUAGUUGUCAUUGGAACCAAGCCUAAAGCUGCACGUGGCCUGUUAUACAUAUAAUCAGUUAUUUACUCAGGAUUGAGAUAAGUCGCACAAAAACCCAAACCCAAUAGAUUGAAGUCGAAUGUUUUAGAUAAUGUCCUUGAGAAAGAGGUGUUAGAUCGAAUUUGUCAAAAUUAACUUAUAAAUUUUUAGGAGAGCCAAAUUGCAUUUUUCUUUUUUAAAAAGUUUAAAUCAUAAUUUUAUCAUUUUAGGAGGGAUAAAAUAUAAUUCUAUAAUAUAUUAAUAUAUUAAUUUAUAAAUUUAUAAUUUUUCUGAUUUUAGAAAGGCUUAAGUGCAAUUUUUCAUUUUAAGAAAGGUAGGUUGGCCUGUGUGUCACGACUUUUCGUCGUGCAAUCCGUGCAAUUUGAGGCAAUUUCUUCGAUUCCAAUGAACCUAAAUCAGCCUAAUUUUCAAAAUUGAGAAGACACUGAAAUAAAUCGAAAGCAAACUCAGAAAAAGAAGAAACUACGAACAAAGAAAACCACAAAAAAUGAGUGCACACUAAGUGUUUGAUUAAAUACUAUCAAUAUAUAUUUCUUUUAACUUAGAAAGGAUGAGGUGGUUGCAAAUGAAGGAAGACAUCUAUUUAUAGUUAAACUCUUCAAAUUCAACGGUACAGAUUAAUUUACAUCAACAGCUAAAAUUAGUUUUCAUCUAUACAAUAAGAGAGUCUUACGGAAUUUAAAUUCUAUACAUGUUUAUCCUUUAAGAUUUACAAGAAUUAUCAUGAUAAAAUACAAUUUACUGGAGUCUUUCAAUUCAACCAAGAUUCAAGUGAUGGGUUUUUGCUUAUAUUCCACGAAUCGGGUCAAUUUAAGUAAAUCAAAUGAGUCCCAAUUCAUUUGUUGAUGUCUACGGAACUUUCUAUGCGAAUUGGUUACGAGUUUUGAUCCUCCGCCUGUGAUAUUGACCCGUGAAGGAGGAUGUUAUUUAAUUUAAAGGGAGUCAUUCGGGUAAAUUUUUUGUUGGCCGACACUUAUCUGCAAUUUCGGAUGGCUGCUGGGAUGCUCAAUUUCAUUUGGAGUUUAGAGAUCUGCCGUGGUAAACUAUGUUAUAGUAACCUGGAAAAUAUGAAAAUAAAGGUGUGUAAGGCUAAUUGAGCAAAAAACCUGUAACAGCUUUGAUUUUGUCCUAAGUUUUAAUGACUUUUUGAGAUAUGUAAGGGGAAGCAGAGGACAUAGCAAGGGGUUGGGAUGGUGUUUACCACCGAGAGGGGAGGACUAAAUGAAACAAGAAUGCUGCUGUUGAUAAUAAUUCAGGUGUAGCAGCAACGGGUGGUCUACUUCAAUGGGUAUAAUCAGGGUCUUGGUUUUGGUCGAAAUGUUGGGCCUGGACCCGUGCUAAAAGUAGAGCUUCUGUCAGUAAUGGAUGGCUUGGCAAAUGGAUUUAGGAAGAUCAUUUUAGAGAGUGAUAGCUUUACAGGCUGUGCAGUUGGUUAUUUCUGUGUCAGCUUGGAUAAUACCUACAACAUGAUGUGCUGCGAUGGCGGUGGGAGAUGGGAGUGAGACGAGAAUAAUCAACCUGCUGCCAAGUUUUCUAUGAAGGUGAUUGCAGCGUUGAUGGUCUAUGAAUGGAGAUGGUCCUUGCUGUCAAAUGAUACUGUUGGUUAUGUUGUUCAAUCAUUUUGUUCCGCUGAGUAUAUUUGAGUAUGCACAAGUGAAUUGAAGAGUACAAGAUGUCACUUCGUAGCAUUUAUUUGGCAAGGAGGACAAAUCCAAGCCUGGGAACGGAAUCUAUUUUCUCUUAAAUCAUUUUGGCUUUAACAUUCAAUAUUUAGUCAAUACUAUUCGAAGCUCUGACCCAUUUUAAAACAACAAUUUUGGUUUUAAAAAUUGCUUUCUGAAUCUAAUAUUUUUGUCAUCACUCCCAAAUUUCGGAUUUUGAACAGAAUAGGAUAUUACUAUUAUGAUCUUCAACACAAAAAAGAAAAAUGGUAAUACUAUUGUAUAAUAUAUAGGUCUAGAAGUAAAUAAGAAAUUACAGAGCUAGGUGCAAAGAAACCAGUGUUUUUAUUUUAUAAUAUGGAGGACAAAACCUCAUAAAAAUCCUCCAUUCUUAUGGCAAUACCAAUAUUAAAGAAAAUAAACAAAAAAAUGUGGAUCAAGUAAUAUAAAUGAUAUAUUAUAUCCCAACCCCCAUGGCCGUAGUUAUAAACUCUAAAGUCUAAGCCUAAAGCUGCAACUACUGCUGGAAAUUCUGAUGGCAUUGUUAGCAGAUAAAGCAUUCACCACAAGGCGGCACCUAAUCCUGAACUUCAUUUUCAUGAGCUUUAAGCUCCCAAGCUUAACCCUCACAGUCUGUUUAGCCCUCAGCCUCAAAGGUAUGUUCCCCGUCAUCUGCUGCUGCUGUUGCAGUGCCGUCAGCAACACUGUACCGUUCUGGACUUGCCCUGUCAUCGGCAAUACCAGCACGGUCGUGUUCCGAUGACCUUGGUAGAAUUUGGGUAACGCCCCUUCACAUAGUUGGGUUUCAUUGUACCAUACGGUUAUAUGACUACCUCCGUCAUAAUAUAUUCCGAUUCUUUUAUUGGGGUUUCUGGCGGUGAUGUUAACAUCGAAGCUAGCAGAUAAGCUGGAAUUCACUGAGCUGAGAUCGAACUGCGUAACCCGCAGGCCGUCGAUAGAAUACUUGGGUAGCUUUGGUCGGAAAACAAGGAAUAAGAUGCCGACGAUAAUCCCCAGAAUGACGAUCAGAAGCAAGAGAAGAGACAGCGUCCAACACAUGCACCUGCAACAACAGCUUCUUCUUUUCUUGGGAGCUGUCGAAUGCUUAACAGGAGAUGGGCCAUGGGACUGGGAGUUGAGUGGAUGUUGCUCGACAGGGUCACCGGUAUCGGAUUUAGAAGUGGCUAGAGGAACCAAGGGAGCACUGGGGGAGGCUUCUGGCGGCGCUUCCACGUCUGGGACGGGAUGGAUUUUCUGUUGGUCCGCCAUUGAUGAUGUACUCAAUUCAAUUCAAUUCAAUUCAAGCCUCUAAGGGAAGGUAACCAUAUAAAUUAUUUUUGUAAAAUGAACCUUGAGAAAAAUAGAAUUAAUAUAGAGCAGGGGAAGGAAGCUAUUGAUUAAGUCAUACGAUAGAAGCUUCCUUUAUUUGACUUUUUUCCAAAUGACGAAGUUUUGAUCCAAAUAUUCACCUAAUGGUCCGCAUUCAUAUUACAAUCCUUUUGUAAUUAAAAUAUAUAUUAUAUUUAAUAAUUUCUUUGGAUGAAAUAUUUACAAUUAUUUAUAUUUCCUUUUUAAUUAUUAAAUAAGAAAAUAUUGUGUUUUAGCUUGUUCGAAUUCAUAUCCUCUCAUAUUGAUAACAAUACCGUAUCAAUUCAUUAUUUUAUUAAAAUUUUUAAUACAACAUAAAUUACCAUCUCACAUAAAAAAUUUGUGAGUUAGAAACAGAUUGGGAAUUCAGAAUUGUUAUAAAAUUGACUGUAGACCAAGUUGAACCACGUGGAUGGUAAAUCAGCACUAAUUUUAUUUUUAUAUUUUUGAAUUUGGGAAAUCAGCACAUAGACUUCGGAUUUGUUAAAGGUUGGACAUCAGGUUUUUCAUAUGAUAAUAAUCAUAAUUCUAAUGGUCAAAAUUUUCUAUUAAUCCUUGUCUUAUAAAAAUGUUUUAAAUUUAGUCCUCGUACUUUAAUUUGAUCAAUUUUAGUCCUGUACUUUUCAAAUUUUUGAAAUUUUAAUUUUGGCUGUUUGUUUAAAUUCAAUUACUAGUUAUGCAAUACACAUACUGUUGUAGAUUGUUAAUCCAUUAAUUAAUUUUUUUUAGUGAGAAAUAUGUGGAAAUAAUAAGCAUAUGAUAAUAUGUUUAACACAUCAGAUUUAGAAAUAAAAUAAAAAUUAAUUCAAUGAAUUUAACAGUUAUCAUAUGGUGAUAACUAAAAUUUAAAAAGCACAUGGCAUAAAAAUAACCAAAUUAAAUUGUAGUAAUUCACAAUUUUUACAAAGUAUAAGGACUAAUAGCAGAAUUUAACAAAUUAUAAUAGUCAAAUUGGACAAAAUAGAAGCCUGUACUUGAACUAAUGACACAUAUCGAACUUAAUGUUGAAAAAAGGAAUAAAAAGUAGAGAAAAUUACAAAAUAUUUGUUGAGGAUGGCAUCAACUACUUGGAAGGGGGAGCCAUAACUCAAAGGAGCCGCCUUCAAAAUUGAAUAUUUAGGACAAUCUUUGAUGAAUAGCUUUCUUUUGGGGAUUUUCUUCUGUGGUUCCAUUUUAUGUUAUUAUUUAUUUAACAUCUUUAGCUUUUAUUUAAGUGGAAAACGAAGACCAUGAUGUCAUGACUCUUAAUAAAAGCUUGCUUCCAUUUUCAACUUUGAAUAUUUUUCAUUAUAAGGUUUAGUACUUUUCAGAAGGAUAGCAUGACAUUUCAUAAUUCAAGUUUAAAAUAAUGAGUCGAAUAUAAAUAGAAUUGCAAGCUUAAUGUUUAACUUUAAGGAAUAAAAUUUCUUAAGCUUCAAGUAACUUUUAAUAAUUUCGGUUUAAACCCAAAUUAAUAAAUAAUUAUAGACAUGAUUUAAUAUUCGUGAUGAAUAAUGUGGAUUCGAAUAUUUACAAAUAUUUAACUUAUUUCAGUAUUUGUACAGUUUUUUAUCAAGUUCAGACAUUCAACAAAUAAUUUCAUUAAUUCAAAUUUGGACUAUAAACGAAAUCUAGUUUUAAAGUAAAUUGGAAUUUGGAGAAGUGUAUGUUGGAGAUAGGUCACUUGGCAUGGUAAAAAGCAAAAUGUUGUUUAAAGUAGUGCAGAGGCUGAUAUUUAGAUCAGUUGCUCAUGGAGUUUGUGAAGUGUUGGGGAUUACAAGGUGUAUUGGGACAGCAAAGUAGCAAUCUCCAUUGUUCGUAAUCAAAAUUUUCAUGAUAGAACUAAAAACAUUAAAAGUUGAUACAUCCAGUGUUGUAUUCAUUUUUCUUUCUUAGAUAGACAAAAUUUUCUUUGCCGUUUCGGCCUUAAAAAUCUGACCCUGAAACAGCAAAAUGUAUCAUUUUAUUAUAAAUGUAAAGAAAAACCAGCUACUAUACACAAAUAAUCCAACUUUUGAUCAUACCCUAAAUAGGCAAAUGCCAAAGAAUAGUGUUAUAAUGAAAUUUGAAGGUCCUCUUACCUUCCGUCUGUUUUGUCCCCUCUACUCAUCCACGUUUUGUUUUGUUAGUUUAGAGUGUUUAGCAAUUCCAGGAAGAUGAUCUCUUUAUCAUUGGCUUCCUCUGUUUGUCCUCUUCCAAAGCGAUCAUCCCCAAGUGUGAUGGAUCCUCUAGCAUCAUUUUCGCCACUAAAUAUCCAGCUAUUGACCAUGUCUGGUACUUCCUUGCUUGUUUGCCGAUAAAUCUCCCGAGUUUUCCGUCAUAAUAUUCUGGCCAGCCAUCUUUCAACAAACGUGUCUCCGCAAGAUCAAUUGCCUGCCUUGCAAUUUGUGGCCUUCCCGUUUUGAUGCAAGCAGCUGUUAGCAACCACAAAAGCACUGCGUAUACGAAAUAGUGGAAAAUUGCAAACGGUCACAUUCUAACAUCCAAUAAUUCUAAUAAGAAAGGUGAUAAUAAACUCAGCAAUAUCUUCAGUUGGAAAAAUGCAGAUGAAAAUGUUAAUACAUCAGUAGCCUCAUGAUUCCUAGUUCAUGACUGUUGAAUGUCAAAUACAGAUACUUCAAGAAAAAAGAAGAGUUGAAACAACAUAAAUCCCACUCAUCUAAAUGGCAACAACUACUUUCUACCAGCUUCAUAGUUUAACAAAAUACCAACAAUAAAUUUCUAGUUAAUAACAAACAAUAAUAAAUUGUUUUGUCAAUAAGACAACAUGAGUUACCCAUAAAACAAAUAACUUCGGUUCUUAUAAGAUCAAAAGCACUAUAAUGGUGAAGAUAGAUAAUAGAUUAGAGAAUGAUGGUAAUACCUGGCCAAGAUCCUCCAUUGUGAUAACUCCAUCUUGUGUUCUUAGGGUCACAACCGGUGACAAUUCGCCAUUCAUGUUUUUCUAUUGCAGGAUAAGCUAUUUUUAAAGGCAUUUCUCCAACAAGUUCAUCCCAACGGGCUUCAAUAAGAUCCAUAAUAGCCACUGAUUGCUCUGGUGUUGCAAGAGAAGAUAAAAUUGCUAUACAGUUACCUAAACAAAACCAUCGGAAAUCCAUCCUAGCAGGACUAACAUUCCCAAUAAAGUAGCCACCACGUGUUGGCAUAAAAUCAAAUAUCCAGUCAGGGAUAGAAUCGGGAAUAACAUUAAACUUAUUUACUGCAGUGUGAGAGUACUCCUCAGUCUUAUAUCUGUAAAUAUCAUUUAGUUGUUGAAAGUCAAGCCAAAAGUAACUACGCAUGUGAUAGCUCAAGGCAUGUAAACGCUUCUCAAUUCUUUCAAUGCAAUCUUUUCCUUCGGCAUCUUGCUUCAGCAUUGAUAAUGCACACCUCAGAGCCAUAUAGAAAAGCGCUUGAAUUUCAAUAGGAUAACCAUAAACAUCCUGUAAAAUAAGUUCACAUCAUAAUUGGAACAAGCAAUUAAGACUCCUUGGUCCCAUAAAGGGAAGGACUGGUGACGAUAAAUACAAAAAUAUCAAUCUCCAUCACCUCUGUUUGAUUUUCUAUUCAGAAAAGAAAGAAAAUAAGGAGUUCAUAAAGCACUAAUGCAAAUUAACUUCUUAAGUAUUUUUCAUCAGCAUAAGUCAUCAAGUAAGAGGAAAAUUUGAAGAAUUCAUUUAAGAUCCAUUUACCAAUAAAAAAAAAGGGGAAGACAAUAGCUAAAAAGAUUUCUAGGGAAACAUGAAUGCAACAAUUAGUACUAAAGUACAAGCAUAACUUGGUGAUCAAUCUUCAAUAGGCAAAUACAAUUUAGAAUCCAGAUACAAAUUGUUUCCUUGAUGAAUAUUUAACACCCCAAAAUCCCAUAUUGGAAAUUUGUAAUGAAUUAAGGAAUAUAAAUAGAGACCUAAGUGUAACAAUAAGACAAAAACUGUAACACCCAAUUGGCCAAAACAUACCAUACCUCAAAGGUUGGGUCAUCACUAUAGAAGAACAUAAAGAACAUUGUUCCUUAAUAGUUAAUCAAAGCCAAAAGAGCAUUUGAGACAAACAAUGUAUUAUUGGUAAACUAUGACUAUUUUACACAUAUAUUCAUAUCAUAUAUAUGAUAUUAAAUAAUGCCAAAUUCACUUGCUUGAUUGGCUUACCAAGCCUCUACAAGAUUGGUUAUCAAUUAAGAGUAUGUUUCUUUAUGUCAUACUGCUCUAUUCUAUCUGCUAUUCAGCAGUAGCAAUAAAUAAUAAUUGGAUGUACAUUAUUUUUUGCAUUAAUUAUCCAUAUCUAUCCAAAUUCCAAUUUUCAUAAUGUUAGACACUUUUUAUUUCUCAACUUCCUAGCAUAUCUCACAUAAAAUAACUACAAGACUGGUAAGGAAACUUAAGAAAAGGAAAGCACACAAAGAUGCACAAAAUAGAGGGAAAGAUUAAGAAGUGAAGGCUGGGUUACCAUUCUUCGAUCGAUCAUAGAGCAUCCAUCAGCACAAAGCAGUGUUGGAAAUGUAUCAAAUCCUUCUGCUAAACACAGAGUAAGUAUAAGCCUCAUCCCUUUUUGACACUCAGGCCUCUCAGCUAGUGAUAAAUCCCCAGUAGAUUUUGUGUAUGCACGGAGCAGAAUGAUCCACCAGAAUCCAGAGUCAACUGGAGCAACUCUUCCAAUGGCACUCUCUCCAAAAUCAGCAAUAAUCGUGUCCAAUUUACGUACAGGGUCAUGUAGAACUUUGAAGCUAGCUGGCAUUGCUCCUUCUCCUAGCUUGAACCUAUCUACUUUUUUCUCCCACCCUUGAAGUUGUAGAGUCUUCAAGAGAAAGUUCUUGACUAUUUCAGGCUCUCCAUUCAUCAGAAAAGCCAAAGCACUAGGUACAAAAUCUCUAACAAAAACCUGAACAAAUCAACAAUUUAUUAAAACAUGAACAGUCCAAGAAAUUUUCAAUAUCAUAACUCACCAGAUGGUAAUAGAUUUUCGGCAUUAAACAUAAUUGCAGAUAUUUUGAAUUUUCCUCAAUCUUUAACUUAAAUAAAAAUAUUUUAAAAACAAAAAUGUCAGUGAUCAUUUAACUUAAUCUUCCCAUUUUCCCUACCAAACCUCAUUUUAACAAUCAGGAUUCCUAAUUCAUUUUAAAGUUCAAUUAUUGUUCAUGUUUGGCGUUAAGUUUCACGUAGUCAAAUUUAUUCAACUUGGACCAAGGUUUGUACCAUUAAAUGAUCUAGUCUCACAUUCAAUUAAGGCCUGAGUUUGUUAUAACCUUAUAUCCAGGAAAGCUUUCCAUUUAUGGCCGAUUAAUUUUAGGAUGGAUGCUUAACAAAUGAUCAUAUUCAAUAAUAGAUGUCAUAAUUUAUAAUUUCAUAAAUACGCAACAAGAAUUUCAAUACUCCUAAAAAGGAUGCCCACUAUCUGAUGAGAACUUUACCUGAUCAUAGUUCAAAACUUCCUCGGAAGCAUGAUCAUACGCAGCAAUGGUACCAACUGGUUGGCCUCUGAAAUACACCAAAGUCCUCCUGAGAGCCUCCCACGCUUCAGCCACAAUGGGGUGCGGAUCAAAGGAAUUUCUAUCCCAAGAAGCCGGAGUAUCAAUACCUGACCUCCCGCAGGGCGAGUGCAUGCCCUCAUAAUUGUCAUAACUCCCUCUUGUGAGAAUAAUAGGGAGCUCACUGAGUGACCUUUCAUCAAAUGAUCUUUGCCUCUCUAUGUUAAGCCUCGGCUUAUCAAGGAGGCGUGAGAGAUCAUGAUCAUCCAUUUCAGAGAGGGAACAAAUAGAGCUCACAUUUCUAAGUCCCAUCACUUUAGUCCCAUCCAUUUUCUUUGUCUAAAUUGCACAAAAAAUACAACUCUCAAGUUUCAGAAGAAGAGAUUUAUGCUCAAAAAAGAGAAGAUAAAAGGAUUAGAUCCCAAAAUAUUUUAGAUAACAGCAAUACAAGAGUAGCAAAGAAACAUUCUUAUAUAGAAACUGAAAUGCUAAGACUAUAUCUAAAAGUUGAUGAAAUAAAAGCCUUGCUUUGUUAUCCAUUCAACAAUCAUUUGCGCCAAUCACGGAAAUGGCUUAGUGGCAAACUUGUGUAGGUUUCAAGUUGAUUGGCAUGAGAUCAGGAUCCUUGCGUUUUGGAAACCCUUUUCCCCUUCCCAUUGAAAUGUUAUAAAGAUGAAACAAUCAUUUGCCUUUUUGUCACAGUGCAGAGAACAAAAUCAAAUUUAAUCAACAAAAUCAUCAUUUAUAUGGAUAUGAGGAUAAUGGACAUUAAAUGAAUAUGUUUUGAGUAAUUUACAGCAUUAUACUUUACUAAAGGAAAACAAAUUAAUCAAGACUAAGAAAAAUUGAAGGAAACAGAUUAAGCUGCAGAAAAACCAACAAAGAGUAUGAAAAACAAAUAAACAAAAGAAAUAGUACAGAUGAAGUCACCUGAAAAGUAAAACCAGAUCUGAUAGUCAGCCAAAACAUCAAAGAAACAAAUCAAAACACCGAAACACCUCCCAAAAAAGGAAAAAGAAAGUAAAGAUUCAUAUAAUAAUAAGGACAGGAAAAGCAAACCUUUAAGAAAGCAAAGAUGUCGGAGAAGUGAAAUCUCAGGCAAGCCCAACAGAGAUAAAAUUACUGAAUAUUUGGCCGGGAAAUGGUCGGAGAAAGGAAAAAACAAAAACAAAAAGGAGAGAAAAGAAAGGAAAAUGAAAAAAAGAGAAGAAAAAACAAACAUGCCGUGAAGAUAUGAUAUUUAUAGAGUGAGGGAAAGAAAAGACUUUUGAGAAAGAAAAACAAUUGUAGUAAUAAUUACAACCGUACGACUACCGUGUCUUUCUCUGCCCUUUGAACAACAUAAAAAGGAAAUGAUGGGAUGGGACUAAGUUUACCGGUAAUAGCCGGUGAAAGCAAGUGUAAAAUGUCCCACGCGUUACCCGACAACAUUGUUUGGAAAUAAAGCAGAAGUUUUAUUUUCACCUCUAUUUAUUUAAUACAUUUGAUUUUCCAAUUUUACAAAAAAUAUAUUUUAACUUUUAUUUAAUUUUUAUAAUAAUUAUUAAUAAUUUUAAAUAAAUUUUUAAAAAUUUAAUUAAUUGUUGACGUAGUAUACGUGAAUGUCAUGUCAACAGAGUUAAGGAUAUUUAUUUUUAAAUGAAUUAUUAAAAUAAUUUUUUUUUGUAAAGUUAAAAGUUAUUUGCAUAGGUUGGGUUUGUUUUUUCAACUCUUAUUGUAUUCGUUAAGGUAUCUUUCUUAUUGAUAUUGAUAUGCAUGGAUGUUGAUAUAUUUUGAUAUAUUGUUUUGGAUUAAUUGAUGUUUAUAAAUGUUUUUCACACAUAUAUUUAUAGUUUAAUAUUUAGUCAUUUAAUAAGUUAUAUGUAUUAUAGAUACAUGUAAAUAUAUUUUAAUUACAUGUAAAAAUAUUAUAUGUGUAGUCUAAUUUUUAGUUUCUUAAUAUCAAAAUUGUGUACCAACUAAUAUGAAUUGGUACCCACCAAUAUAAGUCAGUAUUGGCUAAAACGGGUUGAAACACAUUGAAACAGUUGAAAUGCAUCAAAAUUGAACCUAGACUACUUGGUACCUAUUGAAAAUAGAAACAGUAUGUACUAGUGUCACAAAACUAGAACUUUAGUUUGGCAAACAAUGCAGUCUUAGGUAAAAAGUUAGCUUCAAAUCUGCCUCAGUUAGCUUAACUCUCGGAAGAUGAGAAUUCUCACAGAAAUUUUCUAAUGCACCAAAAUAAAACAGAAGCAAACUCAAAAUGAAAGAACUAAAAAAGCCACAAAAUAAUGCACAUAACGCGUUUGAAUAAAUGCUAUCAAAUUCUCUCAAAUAUAUUUUUAACUCAAGGAUGAAGUGAUUACAAAUGAAGUGCGAAGGCUCUAUUUAUAGUUAAGGUCCCUCAGAUCCAACAGUAUAGAUGGGAUUAUACCAAUGGCUGGGAUUAGUGCCUAUCACAAGAGCAUUAAAGGAUUUAAACUCUCUAUAUUUUUAUCCUUUAAGAUAAUUAUCCUGGUAAAAAAAAGUUACGGAAGUGUUUAUAAUUCAACUAGAAUUCAAGUAGACGGGCCUUAAGUCUCUUUCAAACAAUGGGUUAAUCAUGUCGGGCAUGAUCCCAAGUGAAAAUGAAGAGUUUGAAAUAUGCGUCUCAAUUACGGGUUCCUUUACGCGGCCCGUGACACUAGUCGAUAUGAUUGGUAUCGGUAUAGUACCGACUACCUCGCUCUUAAUUGAUUUUGGUUCCUAAAUCUAAUUUUGGGUUAAUCUACUUGGAUUCAAUGUCUAAUUUGUUUCCCUAAUUUCUUUUGUUUCACUUUUCUAACGUUCAAUUUGGUACCAAAGAUUUUUGAAUUUAAUACUUUGAGUUUUCUUUUUGUGUGUCUUAAUUAAGUAUUUAAGUUUAGCUUCAAUAUUCAAUUUAGUAUUUAAAUUUUUUUGUCCCAAUUAAGUACUUAUGUCUUUUUACUAGAGCAUACGAGUCAAAUAUUCAUUAGAUCACAUAAUAUCCUUUAGCCUAGAUAACAGAUUAAACAUCGAAGCCAAGCUCAUAUACCAAAUUGAGACAAAAAAAAUCAGGUACCAAAUUAAUCAUUGACAUCAAACACAUGUAACAAAUGGUAUAUUAUUCAAGCCUAAAAUAAUUAAAAGUUAAUUGAAAUUUUCUAAUUUAUUUAGAUAAUUUUUUACAUUUUUAAAUAUUUAAAAUAAAUCUUUAACUUUUAAUUUAUAGUAAAAUAAGCUUCACUUUAAUUUAUAUUUAAAUAAAUUAUUAAUAAAAAAUAUUUAUUUUAAAAUAAAUCAGAUGAAAAAUAUUAUUUUUAUUUACAUGAAUUAAUUUAUUUUUUAAUAUCUUAGUUUUUAAGCCUUUUGUAGUCAAUUAUAAUUUCAUUUAAUUUUGAGUACUUGUCUUUUUUAGGUUUGAGUACUUUU